GUUCCUUCCAAAGUUAAGAUCAGCAAUGUUAGCUUCAAGAACAUCAAGGGCACAUGUACUGACCCAGUUGCUGUGAAGCUUGCAUGCAGCCCAGGCCUGCCAUGUGAGAAUGUGGAAUUAUGUGACAUUGAUCUCAAGUACACUGGAGACAAAGGUCCUAUUACCUUUGUGUGUUCUAAUGUCAAGCCGACAAUUACUCGCGUGGCACAACCUCUUGCUUGCGCUACUAUCAGUGCUGCUCCUGCUCCUGCUUGAUCUAACAAGCACAAACCAUGCUGCUGAUGUUUCUUCAGAGAUACAUUGGUGUUGUGCUCUUCGAUUUUGUGCUAAGUGUACUUGGUGUUUUCAUCUAAGAAGGGGAAAAUAUCUCAGUGCUGAUCACGAAGGCUGGGUUCAGGCCAACUGCUUGAAGGCUUCUGAAAGGGGCACUUUGUCAGUGCUAUGCCUACUUCUCAGAAGUCGUGGAGGAAUCGGGGGUGCUUUUGUCCGGCGAUUGGGUGUCUCCAUCGGGACAGCCCGUCCGUUUCCACAUCCCUACGACCUUCCAAAUUGUCGGUAGGUCAGAUUACCGAUUGGUAGGUGGCCAAUUGCUUUCUUUAUGAUUUAAACCUUAUUUUGUUUCUGUUUUUGUAGGCAAACAAAAGCAACCGAGCCCCACGUAAUCAGAGAUUCAGCAGGUUGAUAGAGUUAGGUUGAAAGUCCCUACCAUUGGGAGGGUGUACCCCAAGUUUUUGUUCACCGAGAACCUUAUCGAAGCCAAACUUGCCAGCCAUGUUGAGAGUAAGUGGACUUGUUUUUGCGUUCUCAUUCAUAUUAUAUCAAUGCCUUACCGAUCUCCUUCUUGUGCAGUGACGGAUGCCAGAAGAGCCGCCAAAGCCAAGAGGAUGAAUGAGUCCUCAAAGAGGCGCCUCAUGAUGGGCAUUGAACGGAAGAAAAGAUUCGGCAUGUGGAGGCAGUGCCAGUUCCGUCGGCUGAGGUUGAUCUAGAGGAUUAGACCCUUGCCGACCGUCUUCGGCAGCUCAACGUCGGGUCGGAGCCCAGCGGUGCAGCCGAGGCUAAUUUGGCAUCGAGAAGAGUGCUAACCACCGAGGCCGCUGCUUUCUAGGCAGCCAGAAAAAGGCCGUUUAUGGUAGACCUUGAGGCAGAGCUAGUGCCAAAGCGCGGUCGGCAGAUGGAGGAGCAGAGGGCUGUCUUGGCUGUUGAGGACGAUGACAAUCCUGCCGAUCCGGUCACCCUCACAUGCCAAUCGAAGACACUCCAAUUUGCGAAUCAUGUGAUCCUUGGUUUGCAAAUGGAGUUGUCGGAGAUAGAGGAGCUACCGAAGAAACUCCUUCGGGAAGAAGCCGGUCGAGCCUUCCGUCUCCAGGCCUCCGUAAGUUUUUGUCUUGUUUUUAUUUCCCACUGUGCCACUGUUGGCUUCUUAUUGUGCUGACCUUUUGCUUUGCUUUCCAGGCGUCGAUGGACAUGUGACUGUGCAUGAAGCGGGCCAUCGUCGCUGCCGAGUGUGCCAAGAAAGCAUACGACGAUGGCUGUGCCAAAGUAGCCGAGGCAGGCAAGGCUCUCCAGGACCACGCUCACAUGCUGAAGGAUAAGCAGGCUACCAAACGGCAAGUUCAGGCUUCUGAGGCCAAACUGGGAGAGAUGAGAGUGGCUCUUGGGGCUGCGAUGAUGGCGGCAAGGGAUGCCGAGGCGGCUAAGGAGGCGGUGUAGGUGGCCUUGGAGGAUUUCGAGCAUUCUAAGGUGGCAUAAAUUGAAGCUGUUGUUCGGGAGGGUUCCAUGUUGCUGUGAGAGGUUACCAUUCAUCAGAAGAGUUCACCGUCAUGCUAGACAGGGAAGUGGGCUCGGAGAUGGCUGAUCUGCUCUACAGAUUCAAACGGUACAACCCCGGGCAGAAGCUGAACUUGAACUUUAUUGCCGAUCCUCCUCCCCUUCCUGAAGGUAUUACCAAGAGAUGAUCGAGGACUAUGAGGGGGAGGACGCUCCGGAAGAAGCCUGUGCUGUCGGGGUCCCCGCUACUACCGACGUUGCGAAUGAGGAGGCUACCGCUUGAGCUUUAGCCUCAUAGCUUUCUUUAUAUAUUUUGUAUCUGCCAUAAGGCAGCUCUUCUGAACACGUUGAUGCCGAGGGCAUCUUUUAAUUUUGUUUAAUAACUUGUCUAACGACCAAGUGAUCACACUGUCGGUAGAUUUUAGAGUUUAAUCAUCUUAAUUGCUGUGGGCUAAAUGAAAGAUUGACUGCCAAGUAACUUUCCAACGGUAAGGAGACUUAAGUGUUUUUCAUUGACGAAGGCUAAUAAAGGAUCUACUUGCAAUUGGCAAGUGCAGGUAGGAUCGGUAGUACCGAACUCCAGCUUAUCUGCUGCCGUAGGCUAAGUAAAUGCUUAAUUUAUAAGCGUAGGGUAAUACAUGACCGAUAGUCUCUACCGUAUCUUUUUAAUUAACGAAAAAUAAAUAAACACACCGAAGGUUGUGAAUAUGUAUAAGCCGAAGGUUUUUUCAUUAACCGUUGCCGAAGGCAUGAAUACAGGUUCAUUGUAUUACAAUUUCGCCCUACCGUAGGCUAGGUGACUUCAUUUAAAAUAGUAUUUCAAAUGAUCUACGUUCAUAGGAUGACCGAGGGUUUUGCCGUUGGAGUCUCUUAGCCGAUAGGUUCUCGAUCGAAGGAUGCCGAUAAUCUCAUAAGGUCCCUCCCAGGAAGGUCCGAGUGUCCCUUCCGUAGGAUUCUUGGUUGCCAGAAAGACUUUUUGCAUGACCCAGUCCCCAAUUCAGAAAGAGCAGGUUCUGAGCCUUAAGUCGUAAUACUGAGAGACGUGCUGUUUGUAUGCUUCAUUCCGAAGGUUGGCUUGCGCUCGACGUUCUUCGAUUAAGUCGAGGCUUAGUGCGAGGGCUUCCUCGUUUGUCUUCGGAGUGAAGCUUGCCUUUCGGUAGAGGGCUUGCCGAUCUCCACGGGGACCACGGCUUUAGAGCCGAAGGCGAGAGAAAAAGGGGUUUCUCUGGUUAACGUUCGGUAGGAUGUCCGAAUGGCCCAUAGUGCUUCCAGAAGUUUCCUUGGCCAAGUUCCCUUGGCUUUGUCGAGCUGCCGUUUUAGCAGUUUCUUAAUGAUUUUGUUUAUUGCUUCGACCUGAUCGUUCGACUGGGGGUGAGUUGGCGAAGCGAAGAACAAAUUGAUCUUGAGGCGAGUGUAGAAUUCCCUAAAGAGUUUCGAGUCAAACUGCCUGCCAUUAUCGGUGAUGAUUGCAUAGGGGACAUCGAAUUGGCAGCAAAUGUGAGUCCAGAUGAAGUCUUCCAUCCUAGCUGCCGUUAUGGCUGCCAGAGCUUCGACCUCCACCUAUUUGGUGAAAUAGUCCACAGCAACCACGACAUACUUGACCUGGCUUUUGCCUUGCGGCAUUGGACCGAUCAAGUCCAGUCUCCAUUGGGCGAAAGGCCACGGGCUUACGAUCGGUGUUAAAGGCACGGCAGGGAUGUGAGGUAUGUUGCAGAAGCGUUGACAUUUGUCGCACCUCUUUACUAGUGUGUUUGCGUCCUGGUGCAUAGUCGGCCAAUAAUACCAUUGUCGAAAGGCCUUAUGUGCGAGCGAUCGAGAUCCAGAAUGGUUGCCACAUACGCCCCCGUGGAUUUCAAGAAGGACGUAGUCCCAUUUUUUCGGUGAUGAUGUGUUUCAGAUACAGUGUAAUAUAGGUGCGUUUGUAAAGGACGUCGUUGAUAACUGUGUAUCUUGCCGAUCGGUACUGCAGCUUUUGGGCCUGUGACUUGUCGGAGGGCAGUGUACCGUUUGUUAGGAGACCGUAGAUGAGAGACAUCCACUUGUUUUCGUACCGUACGGUACAUACCUCCGAAGUUGUCGUACUAGCUUGAGAUAGGAUCUCCACCGGCACCUUUCUGCCAACCUUGUUAUUGAUUGUCGAAGCUAGUCAUGCCAGUGCAUCGGCAUGACUGUUUUUCAUCCUGGGGAUUUGCCGAAUCUCAUAAGCCUGAAAUGCUUUGAGGAGUCAGUGUGUGGUUGAUAGGUAGGCUGUCAUGGAGGCAUCCCUAGCUGCGAAGUCUGCCGUUAUGUGAUUCACUAUGAGCUGGGAGUCACUAUGGAUGUUGAUUUGUUUUGCACUCAUGAUCUUGUCUAGCCGAAGGCCGGCCAAGAGAGCUUGAUAUUCAGCUUCGUUGUUGGAGGUUCUGAAGUUAUAUCGGAGGGCAUAUUCGACCUUGGCUCUGUCUGGAGUAGUUAACACCAGACCAGCUCCACAACCUUGUUCAUUUGCCGAGCCGUCGACAUGCAGAAUCCAUAUGGGAACAGAAGGGUGGAAGUGUUCGGCGGGUUGUGCCUGUGGUGUUGGGGUUUCGUCCCUGGGGUCGUAAAUGGGCCCGUUACCGUUCAGUGCCCCCAAGACAAACAUGGUCUCCUUGGGAGGUUUAGUGGCUACUGACCUUAGUGCCGUCGCAUAGCAUGUUCGUGCACUGAGUUGAUCUCCUCUGACAGCGCCUAUGCCGUUGUACGUUGGGAAUUUCAUCAACAACAUAUGGGGGGACAUGUGUGCCUUGAUUCUGGUAAGCGUCGUUCGUCCGACUAUGACGUUAUAUGCCGUUGGGUAGUUGACGAUAAGAAAUUGGUCAUAUGUCAUUGUUUUCCAAGGGGCAACACCGAAGGCGAUGGGUAGACUGACACUGCCGACUGGCUGGACCAGAUCCCUGGAGAAACUAAGUAGUGGUGUUAUCUGCCGAUUGACCUGGCUAUCGGCUACUCCCAUUCCUCUGAAAGCAUCGGCGAAAAUUACAUUUACCGAACUCCAGUGUCGAUCAGUACCCGUCCCACAUCGUAGUCAGCGAUUUCAACUCGAAUGAUCAUUGGGUCAUCAUGGGGGUAAAUGAUCCCUUCUUCCUCUUCACAAAAUGUGAUGGGUUCCCACCCUACCUUUGGAACCUUGCGGUGUCGAUCAGCCUCUAUGCCGAAGACUUGAGGGUAGUGCGCAGCCCGUUUAUAUUGUUUUACCGAUCAAUUGGACAUACCCGCCAGUGUGGGACCUCUACUGAUGGUGAUGAUCAUGUUGAUCUGUCGAUUCCCGUUCGGCACCGGUGCUUGCCAUAGUCUGGCGAUGUACUGAUCCAGCUUCCCUUCACGAAUUAGAUGUUCGACGAUUUUUGUAAAGACCCAAACCUAAAAUUCACAUGUAAUUAGUAAUUUAUUAUGCAGAAAGACAAUUUUGCCCUUUGACUCACUUAUGAACUCAACGUUGACUUUUUGACCGAAAAGGAAUUUGACAAUUCCACAUACACCGUUGUGUAGAGCACGACGAUACGAGUUCAUAGACACGAAGUAAGCUCGAAUCGGAGUUGUAACGAAGAAAAUACGAUUAAAAUAUCACGAAGGGCAAAAUUGUAAAUAAGAAAAUCAGAAUUUUUAUAAAAACCUCAACUUCUCUUUCUCUUUCCCUCUCUCUCUCUCUCCCUCCCGAUAGUUCUAGAAAACCUGUCGGGCAGCCACCUUCCAAGCCACCCCAACGCCACCUCACGCCACCCCGACCCAGCAGCACCGGCCAGCUCCCGCCAUCAACCCCAGCCCGUCCGCCGCCCCUGCUGCUGUCUGGAGCAUCCGGAAACUGCUGGAAAACGCAGCAGUUUUGGCAGAUUUUCCAACCUCAGUUUCUCCCUCAUCCGGCCACCAAAUCAGUCGUGCGAGGUAUCGAUUUCUAGCUAUUUUUCGUGUUCUAACUGCUGGUUGGCUGGGUUUCGAUCAAUUUUUGCUGUAGAUCACUCGAUUUUCAAAUUGAAAUUCGGCCGACUUUCGGCCUCCGUGUUCGGCCAUUUCCGGCCACUUUUUGGGGUAGGUCCAAGAACAAAAGUGACGCCAAAUGGGGUGUUUUACCUAGGAUAGGAGUUUGGAGUCUUGGUUCCGAGAUUUUUCGGCCACUCGGUAUCGCUUUAGACACCCGAAUCUGCCCGCGCGUGCUGGGGCGCGUGGGCGAGGGUGGUGGAGUAACUCUGCCGGGUUUAAUACUGUUGAGCCGUUGGAUCGUAAUCAAUUUUAGAUAUGUUACUCUAGAUAAUUUUAGAAACGUGUAGGAUUCGACGGAUUGUGAAUCGGAGACCCGGAUACUCCGAAAACGCGAACCCUAGGGCUAGGGUUUAGAAAUUACAGGAUUGUGAUCAAUCCGACCGUCCGAUUGACACCAAUACCUUCGGGACAUGUGUCCUAAAUAUAUUGGACCUUCUAGCGGCAUCCGGAUCAUAUUAUACCCGUGGGGUUCCGGAUUGACUUUUUGGACUUUAGCACUUUUUGAGUCACAAGAUACCGCUAAACGAUCCCACGUGGAAGGAAAGCUGUUAUGGGCAUAGGGAUCACUUUAAAUUGACGCACGUACUUUUAGGAGCCGGGGGUAGGGUUUUUAAUUUAAUACUAUAUUGUAUUAAUAGAAUAUUAUGGUCAUUGAAUCAGGCACCCGGGCACCAGUUGACCCGCAGGAGGGACCUUCAAGAGGUCCAGCGAGCUCAGACUAUCAGUGAGUGGACUCUUUGUUUUUAUAAAUGAAUUUAAUCAGUUCAGUUUCAGUUAAGCAGUUCAGUUUCAGUUAUAAGCUGUUUUAUGUUGUUAAAUAUUUUAUGUUACAUGCUGCCGAAUGAAGUUUCCUUUUAAGAAUAUAGGAAAAGAUAUUCUCGUUAAUUAUCAGAUAAAUGGCAGCAGAAUUUUAAAGGUUACAGAAAGUUAAUUAUUCAUAAGAUUUUCUUCAGAAACUUUAUAUUUUCUUAAACCACCUUGUACCCAGUUAUCACAUGUUGCCUUCGGAUUAUAUUUGUUGCCUUCGGUUUAGUCAGCAUGCUUGACAGUUGCCCCACGAGUUCCUUGGUACUCGACCUCGUGUGGAGCGAGUAAUGCGGAUAAAGGUUGAUUGCGGUCUCCUGAAUCCUGCGAGUUGCGGCUCAGACUGACCUCGUGUCACUGAGACCUGCGAGUAUGUGUCACCCAUGGUGAUGCAAGGAAUUGACGGAUAUAAGGAUUUGACGGAAAUAGGUGUACACCUAGGUGAUAGUUUUCAACUAUUUUCAAAUGUAUAGUUAUAUACAUGCAUUGAUUUCAGAAAUAAAGAAAAUAAGCUAGUUUGUAUAACUGUUUUUUCAGUGGGGUUAGUAUGUUCAUAUGGUAUUUUCUAAACUUUGUUUUUGGGUCCACUCACCCUUCUUGUUGUUUUGCGCCCCCAGGCAGUAGACGUGCACAGGAAUCCACCACCGGGCCACUUCCCAUCUUCCGUGCCUUUCUUUGAUGUAGGAUUUGUAUUUUGUACAAAGAUUAACUCUUUUGUAAAUUCUUAGUAGUCGCUCUGAUGUUUUGCCCUAGACUGAGCUUUGAUCUCUUGGCAUGUGUAUAUAUAUGUAUGCUGGCAGUUGGUUAUAUAUAUAUACUUGUUUUGACAGGUGUAAAGAUUUUGGUAUUGAGCCAGAUACAAGGGAAACUCUGCCGGUUUUUCGGUAGAAGUCAACCUUGUUAUUUUUAUCAUGUUUUGUAUAGAAGGGCAAAUAGGUCAUUUGUGCCCGACAUUCGCCAGGUGUCGGACACGCACAGGGUCUGGCUCGGAUUCCAAAGUGGAAUUUGGAUCGGGUCCUGACAAUUUUCCUCAGGCUUAUGCACUCUUCAGUGUCAUGACUGUUGUGCUGGUGGUAUCGGCAGAAUUUGCCGGUAUCCCGAUUGUCCUGUCGAUUGGGCUUUCGACGGUUCGGCUUGGGUAUUAUCUCAUUUUCGUUCAUCAAAACGGCCUCGUAGGUGGUAUUCAGCAGGGUGAAUACUUCCUGACCGUGGUCGUAAUUCGGUAAGGGCGCUCGGUGGUCAUUGUGACCGUAUUGUCCUUUUCCUUUCUUUGAGUGCCCCUGUCGAGCAUCUCGGUCAUCUUUCCAUUUGUUCCCUGUCGAGAAUUCUCCAGUUCUUUUAGGGUUUGGGAGUGCUUCUUCCCGAAGCGCUUAUGCCAGUAGCGCUUAGGACAUAAGCACUUCUACAAAGAAGCAAUUUGUCGUUUGGAUGUCACAUUUAAAAGUGCUUUACACUACAUAAAAGAACUUUUGAUAUUUUGUUAAGUGUUUGGCUGACACAAUAAAAGAGCUUUGAUUUAUCUGGAACUCUCCUAAAUUGUGAGUCUUGUGGACUUAUGAUAUCACUAUCCAUGCGACAAACGACAUCUAAAAUUAUCCCAAACCACCUUGACACCAUCCGCACCAGAAUGUUGAAAUUGGACCAUUCUAUUAGUGAAAGCAUUGAAAAAUGUAAUGCAUUGCCAUAGUGCAACCCAGAACACAGCUUCUUUCUAAAGUCGAUACAAAUUGAGAGGGAGUGCUUGGUGGCACUCUUUUGGGGGUUUUGAGCGCGCAAUGCUUGUCCAAAACACUGCAGCCAACAAAUCAAAAGGGUAGGCUUCAGGGCAAGUUUUUUGGAUUUGUGAGAGGCCUUGCUUGAUCAUUGCACUGGAGAAUUUGAAAGUGGUUGUGCUCAUUUUCUUUUCUGGUAAAGGGGUCUUUGCUGCCAUAGACUUGACUUCAUAAUAAGCCUCUGCUGAUUUUGUUUUUAUUAUGUCUUGAUCAACGGGUCUGCCUCCGAGGGCUGAUGACUCCCCGACGAGAAGCAGGUGGGCAAAUUCAUUUAUCUCCAAAGCCAGGAUUGAUUCUUAUGUUAAUGCUUUUUUAAUCAAGUUUGGUGCUACAUAUAAUAAUGUUUGUUUUCAAUAAAAUCGAGCAGACAAUAUUAUAUAAGCAAGGGGCAUACAAGAAUUCAGAACUCAUCUCCAUUCUCUAGCAAGAAAGAGAGAGGAAAAAAAAGAAAGAAAGGGUAUUUUGGCAUUUAAAAAAAAUUAAAUAAAGGUAUUUUCGGCAUUUUAAAAGUUUCAUUGAAGGGAGCCAAGUGCUUCUUGUGUUUUUGUGCUGCAGCGCUUUUAAGAAGAAGCACCUCUCAAGUGCUUCUUCCAAAACCACUCCAAGUGCUUUUGUAUCUCACCCAAAGCACUUUUGCAAUUUUUGCCAAACACCAUUUUUAAAAGAUAGAAGCACUUUUCGUUGCUCCAAAACAACUCCCAAACGAGCCUAUGAACACAGUCUUCCUAGAGAAUGUCGUUGUACUGUUGGAUAUCAGAGUCACACUACAUCCUACUCGGACGACGGAAGUGUAUGUCUUGCCAUAAGCCUUGGAGAUUAUUGUAAUAAGUUUCAAUCGAGCCACCUGCUUGUCGCAAUCGUUGGCUUUGCCGUUUAAGGUUGUACACUUGAGGGGUGUACGUGCCAUCAAAGUAGAUCAUGGCAAUCGCAUCCCAUAUUGCUUUUGCCGUAGGAAAUCAAAUAAAGGUGCUAAUCAAGCGAGGGUCCAAAGAAUUGAUUAGCCAGUCUUUCACAACUGCGUUUUGGGUACGCCAGCGGUUGAAACUUGGGUUGGUCUAAGUAGGUGUCCCAACUUGUCUUUGCCGGCAACAUACAUCUUGACAACUUGGGACCAAAAGGGGUAGUUGGAGCCAUCCAACUUGAUUCCAAUAUGUGCGGAAGCUUCAUAGGUAAUAGUCAAGGUCGGGUAUACCAUACUAAAAUAUGAGAACCUAUGAGAGAAUAUUGUUUGUGGGAAUUUUCUGUGUAUUCUUCUCCAUAUAAGAGGCCAUAUUUAUAGUACAAUAUAUAUCCUUUGUAGGUUAAGGAACGUAAUAACCCCUAAUUCAAUUUACAGUAGGAAAUCAUGAAUUAAAGUAAAUCAAUUACAUUUAAUAUAGAAAUUUUUGGCGUGUAAGAAAAAUAAAUGCAGGUCCACAAGUCAUGCAAAUAUAUACAACCAUACUAUUUUUCAAAUUUGUAUCAACUUUCUCACAUGGAAGAUGUCUACAACUUUUACAAAUAUUAAUGAGUCUCAUUAGCUACACAAUAUACAGAUAGAAGUUGCACAAAAACAUCGUUUGCAACUAAUUGAUGGCUCUUUCAACGAAAAAGCUUAUAGUUAGAGGGGAAAAGAAACAAAAAAGCUUGCCUUGGACAAAAGUAGAUAGUAAUUUGGUUUGAUAAUGUUAGUGGUGCGGUUGUAAGCUUCCAACCGGACAAUAUAUAAAUUGGGUCGAAACGAAAAUGGAGUACAUAAAACUUAACCCACUUUUAAUCAUUCUCAACAUCACCAUUUAUUUGAUCCACCAAACAAGGCUCCUUCUGUUCCAUUAUUCGAAAUCUCAAACUUGACAUAACCACAAUCAACCCUCAAUAGCAUUCUCUCUCUCUCUCUCUCUCUCUCUCUCUCUCUCUCUCUCUCUCUCUCUCUCUCUCUCUCUGUUCCACCCAAAAACCAUGCCUUGCUAAAUAAGAAUUCAAUAGUGAGGGCCUUAUAUCUAAGGCCCUUAUAUGAUCGCUUAGCUGUUGGAUCAAAUUGGUUAGCUGUUGGAUCAAAUUGGUUAGCCGUUGGAUCAAAUUGGUUAGUUUGAUAUAACGGUUAAGAGAUAUGACCUCGUGGCUUUAAUUUGAGCUGUGGGUCCAAUCAAACAAUAUGGGUAGAAUAUUUUUCAGGUUGUAUUUCAUUCUCCAAAAGAAGGUAUUUAUAGUAUAAGGAUGUAACCCUAGUAGGGUCAAACUAGAAAACAAGAUAAAGACCUAAUUACACAAUAUCUGUACAAAAAGGAAAGAAAUAUAAUCCUAAUAAACUGGAAAAUAAAUAUCCUAAUUAAGCUAGGAUCUCGCUAACACUCCCUCUCAAGUUGGAGCAAAGAUGUCACGUAUGCCCAACUUGUCAAGCGAGUUGAGAAAGACCAUAGUAGACAUAGUUUUCGUAAGAACAUCUGCUAGUUGAUACUCGGAUGAUAUAAACGGAAAAGAAAUAAUUUCCGCAUCCCAUUUCUCUUUAACAAAAUGUCGAUCAACCUCCACGUGCUUUGUACGAUCAUGUUGCAUAGGGUUAUGCGCAAUUGCAAUUGCAGCUUUAUUAUCACAAUACAAAUCCAUGAGUUUGGGGGAAGAGAGAGAGAGAGUGUGUGAUGGUUGUGGGGUGGUGGUUGUGGGAAGGUGAGUUGUUGAGAGAGAGAUGGAGACUGCGAUGGAUAAAAGGGUGGUCGUGGGUUUGGGGGUGUGUUGUGAAAGGGAAGGCAGCGACGGUGGGGAAGGGGGAUGGGUUGCGAAUUAGUCUUGGGGGUGAGUUGCAGGUGGGGAAGGGGUGAGUUGCAGGUGGGAAAUGGGUAGUCAGGUUGGGGAAGAAAAAGAGAGAGGGGAUAGGGAAUCUGUUGGUAGGAUAGGUUUUUGUUUUUGUUCCUUUUUCUUUAAUUUUUUUCUAAAAAAAUUAAUUUAUUUUUAAUAUUUUAACUGAAAAUUAGAUGAAAUGUUGAUGAUUUAGACGGUAGGGGGAAAUUGGUGAAAAAGUUCAUAUCCUUAAUUUUGUAAAAAAAAAAAAAAGGAUAGUGGGUCAAUUAAAACCAAGGUACAAGUUCAAGGGGCAAAUCACUAGUACACCCUUCUUAAUACAAUACCCUAUAAAAUGUCAAAUUUACCCUUAUAUUUGACGGGCAUUUGGAUGGAAUUGUAAAAAAGCUAACAGCAGGGGUGAAAUUGGCGAAUAAAUUUAAUACAAGGGCUAAAUUGGCUGAAAAAUUAAUUCAGGGUGGAGAUUUCGACAAGCAUAAUAAUUCAGGGGGGAUUCGAAAGUUUACCCUUAAAAAAAGUUAAAAAUUUGCCCUGAACAUUUGUUAUCUACUAUCAUCUACAUUUUUUAUGCACGACAUAUUAAUGAUUCUUUCUUCUUUGUAGAUGUGGAUUGGGACAAAACAAUGUGCCCAUAACCUUGCAAUAUGAAUCUUCUUUGGAUAUUUGUUUAACCAAAUUUACUAAAUUAGCCUCUUUAUUUAAUUAUUUCUCUUCCCAAAUAUUUAGUACAUUGUAAAUGUUGUUUGUGAAUGCGAGCGUAUAUCUUGACAUCUUAGUAACUUUUUGAGUAUGCUAUCGAUUUUAGGCUAUAAAUAUUGCUUGGAAAGAAGCAUGCGCAUCCACAACUCCGAACAUGGUUGUGAUAGCAAAAGGAAACUACCUGGCUGGUCCAGUGACGUUUCAAGGGCCCUGCAAAGGGCCAGUUAGCGUUCGAGUUAAAGGAACCCUGCAGGCUCUUGCAGAGCCAGAAAAGCUCAAGUCACAAGAUGGUUGGGUCGUUUUCCAAAAUAUUGAUGGGUUAACAGUCUCAGGAGGUGGCACUUUUGAUGGCCAAGGAUCAAUAGCUUAAUCCAAAAAUGAUUAUGCCAAAACUGGAAAAUGCAACUCACUGCCAAUAUUAAGUUUUUUUAAAUUUGAAGUGCACGUUUUUAUUUAUUUAUCAAUCUUGUGUGCUAGAAACGGAGGCUAACAAAUAGAGUUUGCUCAAUUGGGUUCCUUGAAUGCAGAACAUAAGAUUCACAGGGCUCACCAAUUCACACAUUCAAGACGUAACAUCCUUGAACAGCAAGCUGUUUCACAUAAACGUCAUAAAUUGCAAAAAUGUGACACUUCAACAUGUGAUCAUCACCACCCCUGGUAAAGCAUGCCUUAGAUAAGGCCCUCACUCACUCCUUAUAAACCCAGGCUAGGUCCCUUAACUUUUCAAUGUGAAUAUAAAACGAAUUUUCAAUAGUUAUUUCUCUUGUCACGACUGCUUUGUUACAAAUUAUGGUCAAGAAUUUAUUAGUUUGAUUAGUGCUUUAGGAAACAAUUUUUGGUUUAUGAAAAAUAAAUUUUGUGUGUGUAUUUUUGUUAAUCUUUGCACCAAAUUGGAUGAUAACAGGUUUAGUACUUUUGGUCUAUGAGUCACCCAUGUCAUAAAUCCUCUCUUUCUAAUCUAACAUAGUCUUGGAAGAAAAAAGUUUUUGUCCAAAUUGGAAACUGAGUGAAGAGCCAUUGUAGGUAAUUCAUGUUCUAAAGCGGAGCAGCUUAAUUAAUUACUAAUUAUAGGAUUAUUUUAGGACUCAAGGACCGGCCAAAAACUAGUCCACGCGCGGCCACACUCACCGGCAGCGCGUGGGUGUCCAAAGUGAUUCCGGCAAUCGGAAAAUCUCCAAACCGCCGGUCAAGACUUAUACCUACAUGAUCUGCACAUAGAGUGGAGCAACUUUUGAUCAUGGACCUACCCCCAAAAAGUCGACGGAAGCGGCCCGAAUCGGAGGCCAAAAUCCGGCCAAACUUCCAUCACUUAUUUACGUCUCAAAACGCAGAAAUUUCUCGUAACCAAUACAACCAGCAGCUAGAACACCUCGAGAGGUUGAGAAAGCAUACCUGGAUCGACGGAAAUGGUGGCCGGAAACGUUCAAACGAGCGUCAGAAAAUUCUCAUAAAAACCUCCCAGUUUUCUGGUUUUUUUCGGCCAAAACCGGAGGCUGGGCUGGGGCGGGGCUGGAAGAGGAAGAUGUUGCGGUCCUUUUGGGACCAGUACCGCCCCAAGUGGUGGCUCUAGAUGCCACUGGCUGGGAAGAAAAAUCCAAGAGGGGGGGGGGGGUGGUUGUUCUGUAUCACGAAAACAGAGAGGAGAGAGAGAAAGAGAGAGAGAGAGAGAGAGAGAGAGAGAGAGUGUGUGUGUGUGUGUGUGUGUGUGUGUGUGUGUGAUAUCAGAUUUUUAAAAUACCCUUUUUCGAAAAAUGUAUGAUUUUGCCACUAUAUUUUUCAUCGUAACUUCUUUGUUACAACUCAGAUUUGAGUCCACUACGUGUCUACGGACUCAUCUCGACAUGCUCUACGCAAAAGUAUAAUUGAAAUCCCCAGAUUCCCUCCCAAACAAAAAGUCAACUUUAAAUCAUUAAAAUAUUUCAGGGGUAAAAUUAUCUUCUAUUUGAAUAAAUUAAUAAUUAAAAAUUAAUUUGGGAUCGGGUUGUUACAUGCUACAUAAGAAUUCUAUAGUGAGGGCCUUCUUCUAAGGCCCUUAGAUGAUCUCUUAACUGUUAGAUUAAAUUGGUUAGCCAUUGAAUCAAAUUGGUUAGUUUGAUCCAACGGUUAAGAGAUAUGACCUCAUAGCUUUAAUUUGAGCUGCGAAUCCUACCCUGGAAACAUAACUUGAGCUGCGAUCUGAUUCCAUCAUUAAAUAAAUGACGGAUAUGAAUAUUUGUCCAUCUGUAAUAGAAAUUACAUUAGUAGGAAUGUAAAACGAAACAUCUCCCGAUUGGGUCUCAACUAUUGGUAAAGCAUGCCUUAGAUAAGGCCCUCACUCACUCCUUAUAAACCCAGCAUGGCCCCUUAACUUUUCAAUGUGAAUAUAAAACGAAUUUCCAAUAGUUAUUUCUCUUGUCACGACUGCUUUGUUACAAAUUAUGGUCAAGAAUUUAUUAGUUUGAUUAGUGCGUUCGGAAACAAUUUUUGGUUUAUGAAAAACGAAUUUUGUGUGUGUAUUUUUUUUGUUAAUCUUUGCACCCAAUUGGAUGAUAACAGGUUUAGUACUUUUGGUUUAUGAGUCACCCAUGUCAUAAAUCUUCUCUUUCUAAUCUGACAUAGUCUUGGAAGAAAAAAUCUUUUGCCCAAAUUGGAAACUGAGCGAAGAGCCAUUGUAGGUAAUUCAUGUUCUAAAGCUGAGCAGCUUAAUUAAUUACUAAUUAUUGGAUGGUUGACCUACAUUCAACUUCUUAAUUGGCCAAAUAAAUAUUAACGGUGUUGAGCUUUCCGAUGGGAGUAUAAAUUGGGCUGAAAGCAAUGGAGUUUCAUCAUACUCCAAACAAAAAGGAAAUAACAAAGUCUCAAGAUGGGUUUGAAACUGAAAAAUGUCUUGCCAAUGUUUGUGUUCUUGUUGUUAGCAUCCACAGCUAAAGCUCAAUCUGCUGCCUUAGAUGUGACAAGUGAAAAAUAUGGUGGAAAGCCAGACUCUGAUAUUACCCAGGUAACAAAAACAUUUGUAUUCAUAUUCGGUUCUGAUUAGAAUUUGUUUCUACAAUUGUUUGCCAAACAAAAUCGUUAACAGUUUUAAAUUUGCGUAAUGUUAAUUAGGCUUUAGAGAAGGCUUGGACAGAUGCAUGUGCAUCAACAGCACCAAGUAAAAUUGUUGUUCCAAAGGGAACAUUCAAGUUUGUAGGAACAACUUUUAAAGGUCCUUGCAAGGCUGCUAUUGAGUUUCAGCUCCAAGGAACAUUGCAGGCUCCAGUAGAUGGCAGCCAGCUCCCGAAGGACGACACUUGGAUUGGUUUCGACAACGUCGACGGGCUCACCUUGUCAGGUGGUGGAACUUUUGAUGGCCAAGGAGCACAGUCUUGGAAAAACAAUGAUUGCAACAAAAAUAGACAAUGCAAAUCUAAACACAUUGUAAGAUGAUUUAAUCCUACCAUGUUGUUUUAUAUACUUGAAAAUCUUCUUGUGUCACAUAGGAGCAUUUGCGAAAUCAUGCUCAUUGAUCAAUUCUUGACUUGAUGAUACGUGAUCCAGAUUCACAGCCUGACAAUAUAAACAUAUUUCAUUUGUUUUCUUAAUAUAUGCAGAAUUUGAGGUUCCACUUACUCACCAAUUCCAAAAUUUUGGACGUAACUUCAAAAGAUAGCAAAAAUUUCCACGUCAAUCUUUUGAAGUGCGAGAAAGUUGAAUUCAACGGAUUUACCGUCUCAGCACCUAAGGAAAGCAUGAACACAGAUGGAAUUCACAUCGGUCGUUCAACUGGGAUCAACAUCACUGCCACAACCAUCGGAACUGGGGAUGAUUGUAUUUCGAUCGGUGACGGUACCAAGGACCUCACCGUGACCAACGUUACUUGCGGGCCAGGCCACGGCAUAGCCAUCGGGAGCCUUGGAAGGUACCCAGAGGAAGAACCCGUGUCCGGCAUCAAUAUUAAGAAAUGCACCUUGACUGAUACAACGAAUGGUGUGAGGAUCAAAACAUGGCCUGCUUCCCCAAAAGAUAGCACUGCCUCGGAUAUUCACUUUGAGGAUAUUACCAUGGUUAAUGUUGGUAACCCUAUCCUCAUUGACCAAGAGUACUGCCCAUGGAACGAAUGCAAAAAAGGGGUAUCUAUCUAUAACAAUUUACUAACACCAUAUAUAUGUUCCUUGUUAAUCAAGUCAUCAUUUACUUAAUCUUUAAAAGGAUUUAAAUUAAUCAAUUAAUUAAUGAAUGGUUUUGUGUAGGUUCCUUCCAAAGUUAAGAUCAGCAAUGUUAGCUUCAAGAACAUCAAGGGCACAUGUACCGACCCAGUUGCUGUGAAGCUUGCAUGCAGCCCAGGCCUGCCAUGUGAGAAUGUGGAAUUGAGUGACAUUGAUCUCAAGUACACUGGAGACAAAGGUCCUAUUACCUCUGUGUGUUCUAAUGUCAAGCCGACAAUUACUCGCGUGGCACAGCCUCUUGCUUGCGCUACCAGCGCUGCUGCUCCUGCUUCUGCUUGAUCUAACAAGCACAAACCAUGCUGCUGAUGUUUCUUCAGAGAUACAUUGGUUGUGUGCUCUUCGAUUUUGUGCUAAGUGUACUUGGUGUUUUCAUCUAAGAGGGGGAAAAUAUCUCAGUACAAUUUUUGUUACAUCUUAAAAGAGAUGAAUAAAUUAGUAGGAACUAGAUGAAAAUAAUCAUGGGAAAGAGAAAGAAAGUUUCAUUUGAUUAAAAAAGAAUGUUAUUGGAAUAUGAAUCUUCUUUGGAUAUUUGUUUAACCAAAUUUUCUAAAUUAGCCUCUUUAUUUAAUUGUUUCUGUAUGAAUGACCACCUCGACCAGUAGUGUGCUAGGAAGGGGAAGAGGGAGGGGUGAUUCAAUCCUAUGAUUUUUAUAUUUUAUGCAAGAAUAGAAGUAAAAACUUCAAAGAAAAAAGAAGAAUAAGGAUUAUUAAUUCAAGUAAUGUAUUGAGUUUAAAUACACAUUAAAAAAAGUGUAAACUGCCGAAUACCCCCUUGAAUUAUCACGCUUGUCGAAUCUCCACCCUAAAUUAAUUUUUCAGCCAAUUGAGCCUUUAUAUUAAAUUUCUUCUCCAAUUUCACCCUUGCCGUUAGCUUUUGACAAUUUCCAUCCAAAUCUUUGUGAAAAAAGUACUAUGUUAGGCAUAUACUUCACUGUUGAAUUAAAAAUUGAUUUUUUUUCUCUGGUUCUUCAAAGUGCUUGAAUGUGGGAGAAAUAAAUCGGGGGGAGUGGGGGAGAAGGGAUUUUGGUUUCUGCAAGUGGGGGUUGGGAGGACGGGGGAGGACAUGGGAUAUAUCUGUGGGUGGUGGUUGGUUGUUGGGAUAUUGUGGCAGAAGAAAUCAUAACGAGGGAGAAGAAAGCGGGGGAGGGGGUGCUGAUUCUGGGUUUUGCGGGUUUGGGGGAAUGGGGGAAACUAGAAUUUAUAAAAAAAAAGCUGAAACUAGAAAAGAACUCCAAGAACCAGCCAAACCCAAUCCUUGUCAAGCUUUAAACUUUAUGAACCACACAAAAUUGACAACACCCAAGGUGGUUCCAACCGUGAAUUCUCCACUCAAUUAAAAACUCCAUUUUAAUAAAAAAAUUAUUUCGACUUUUAAUUACUAUAUUGAAAGAAGUAAUUGGAACUUUUAAUUAUUUCAACACAAUCAGGGGAGGGGGGGAAGGGGGUUCUGGUUUCUACAAGUGUGGGGUGGGAGGAGAGGGGAGUGGUCUGUAGAGUGGUUGGGAAAUGGGGGAGAAGAAAUUGGUGGGAGGUUUUCUUUUUCUCUAUUUGAUUUUGUUAUUACAUUUUCCUUAUUCUUUGGGUAAAUUACUCAAAUGGUCCUCAAACUUAUACUCGAUUUGUAUUUUGGUCCCUCAAUUAAAUUAUUCGUUCAAAUGGUCCAUCAACUCUAUAUUAUUCGCUCCAUUAUUCCUACCGUUACAUUCUGUCAAUAUUUCUGUUAAAUAUGAGGGAAAAUUGGUCAUUAUUUACCCUAAAAUUAGGUUAAAUCUAACAGAAAAUUAGACAGUAGGACCAUUGGAGCUAAUAAUAUAGAGUUGAGGGACCAUUUGAACGAAUAAUUUAGUUGAAGGACCAAAAUGUAAAUCAGUUAUAAGUUUGAGGACCAUUUUAGUAAUUUACCAUUUUUCUUAAUACUAUACUUUGUAAAUUUUCAAAUUUACCCUUAUAUUUGAUGGGCAUUUGGAUGGAAGUAUGAAAAAGCUAACGGCAUGGGUGAAAUUGGCGAAUAAAUUUAAUACAAUGACUAAAUUGGUUGAAAAAUUAAUUCAGAAUGGAGAUUUGACAAGGGUGAUAGUUCAAGGGGGAUUCGACAGUUUAUACCCUUAAAAAAACUUAAAAAUUUGCCUUGAACAUUUGUUAUCUACUAUCAUUUGUAUUUUUUAUGCAAGCCAUAUUAAUCAUUCUUUCUUCUUUGUAGUUGUGGAUUAGGACAAAAAAAAUGUGCCAAUCCCCUUGCAAUAUGAAUCUUCUUUGGAUAUUUGUUUAACCAAAUUUACUCAAUUAGCCUCUUUAUUUAAUUAUUUCUCUUCCCAGAUAUUUAACAUCUUAGUAACUUUUUGAGUAUGCUAUCGAUUUAAGGCUAUUAAUAGUGCUUGGAAAGAAGCAUGAGCAUCCACAGCUCCGAACACGGUUGUGAUAGCAAAAGGAAAUUACAUGGCUGGUCCAGUGAAGUUUCAAGCAAAUCGCUGGCUAGCGUUCGAGUUGAAGGACCCCUGCAGGCUCUUGCAGAGCCAGAAAAGCUCAAGUCACAAGAUGGUUGGGUUGUUUUCCAAAAUAUUGAUGGGUUAACAGUCUCAGGAGGUGGCACUUUUGAUGGCCAAGGAUCAAUCGCUUAAUCCAAAAAUGAUUGUGCCAAAACUGGAAAAUGCAACUCACUGCCUAUAUUAAGUUUUUUUAAAUUUGAAGUGCACGUUUUUUUUAUCAAUCUUGUGAGCUAGAAACGGAGGCUAACAAAUAGAAUUUGCUCAAUUGGGUUCCUUGAAUGCAGAACAUAAGAUUCACAGGGCUCACCAAUUCACACUUUCAAGACAUAACAUCUUUGAACAGCAAGCUGUUUCACAUAAACGUCUUAAACUGUAAAAAUGUGACACUUCAACAUGUGAUCAUCACCACCCCUGGUGAAAGUCUAAACACAGAUGGAAUCCACAUAGACGGUUGACAGAGAUUUUCGAACACCUGAAAAAGAGUAUCCAAAAAUCUCAAAUUAAAUUACCUGCAAGCGAGGAGAGCACGUGUGUAAAAUAUUAGGGCGUGGGUUUUUCACGUUCAACUGUCAUCCCCUCAUUGGCCUAACAACGCUCGUUUUCAUCCACGUUCAGCCGUCGUCGCCCUCCUCGACUUGACAAGGCCUAGUCACUUUUCUUCCACGUCGAGUCGCUGCCGUUUCUCUUCCACGUCGAGUCGCUACCGUCACCCCUCUCUUUGAUUCUGGGGUUCUAGCCUCGUUGUUGUCUCUCUCAUAUCCUGGGUGUUGGUUUUGUCGUUCACUUUCUCCUCAGUGGGUUGGCAUUUCUUGUGGUUGUGUUAGUAUGGUGGUUUCAGCGGGUUUGCUACUGCUAUUGUGCCAACAGUCUCCAAGUCAACGACUAUGGUGCAAGCUGCUUCAUUGGGGUCAGCGGUCAUGGUGGAGGUGGCUUUCUUCACGCCUCCUUCGUCGCCCAAUCCGCAAUCUCAAGCCUUACAUUCAUGAGAAGACGACCGUUGUCCAAAGAUUUGGCGUGGGUGGCUACACCUAGGGUUUAUAGUUUUGGUCCUCCUUUUCACGGUGUUGGGCCAGGUUUUUGGAAACUCAGGUUGUUGGGUACCAUCCUUUUACCCAUAUUUCCCCUUUUUUUCAUCCGAUCCGGUUCGGUAUUCCGGUUUUCCGAUCCCGAUGCCCACCCCUACUUCUUAUAGACUAAGAAUACUGUCCAAAUGGCCAAUGCCAAGCGAAAAUCCCGUCGAAAAUUAAGAUAAACAAUGUGAGCUUUAAGAACAUUAGAGCACUUCUGCUGAUCUUGUUGUUAUGAAGCUUGCUUGCAGCAAAGGCAUUCCAUGCCAGAAUGUAUAAAUUAGUGACAUCCAUUUGACAUACAAUGGGAAAAAUGGUGCUGCCACAUCUAUGUGUACUAACGUCAAGCCCACUAUGACAAGCCAAAUUUUUCCACCUGCUUGUGGAAAGACUGCAGUUUAAUUUGGUACUGCUUUAAGGUGAUGAUUAAAAGAAAUUAGUAGGAAAAGAAAAUAAUCUGCAGAACGCCCCUUCAUGCUUAAUUAGAAUGGUGGGUAGUGGUGGACUACACUUAUGCAACAGUAUAGAUGUUAUGUUCUGUAUACAGAUGUUAUGGAUUUAGAUUAUGUACUAUUGUUAUUCAUGGGAAAGCAAUAUAUUAGUAGAGAGAUGUUAAAAAAAGUUUUACUUGAUUGGAAAAGAAAGUGGUUGGAAUAUGAAGCUAUGGAAAUUUUUUUCGAGCCAAAUUUACUCAAUUAGUCUCUUUAUUUAUUUAUUUCUUUAUGAAUGACCACCUCGACCAGUGGCGUGCUAGCCAGGAAGGGGUUGGAUGGUUCAUAUAUUUUUAUGUUUUAUAUGCAAGAAUCGAAGUAAAAAACUUUAAAAGAAGAAAGAUUAUUUGAGUAAACAGUUAAAUUUAAAUAGACCUUUACCAUAAUUUGCAUUUUUUAUGCGCCAAUUAAUCAUUCUUUCUUCUUUGCAAAUGUGGGUUAGGCGAGUGUGUCAAGAAUCGAAAUAACUAUGAGAUUUAAAACAGGUUUUCCGAGUGUGUUUUGGGUUGCCACAAUGAGUGCAUCCACUCACGUUGGUCAAAGCCCAUGGUCGAGGAGGUUGUGUAGUCGGGCGUGAAGGCGAGCCAACAGCCGUGAUAUAGGACUGUAUCUGAAGCGGCACAACGAUAGAGGAAGGCAUCUGGCCGGGCUGACCGGUCGCCGAGGUGUGGCCGACUAGUUGGUGAGUUCCCUUGGCCGCCAAACCAGCCGCAGUCGGCACCUGAGUACCCAUCAUCACAACUUGUAAGAGAUCUUCGCGUCAGACAUAAGCAUAUGCCCACUCCACGGUGGGAAACGAAGCCAUCUGAAGGACAUCACUUCGGGCCUUAUCAAGUCGGUCAUCCAAGCCAUCCAAGAAGAUAUAAACACAGUCUUCUUGGAGAAUGUCGUUGUAAUAAGUUUCAAUCGAGCCACAUGCUUGUCACAACUGUUGACUCUGUCGUUUAAGGUCGUACACCUAAGGGGUGUACGUGCCAUCAAAGUAGAUCGUGGCAAUCGCCGUCAGAAAUCAAAUAAAGGUGCUAAUCAAGCGAGGGUCUGAGUAGGUGUCCCAACUUGUCUUUGCCAUCGACAUACAUCUCGACAACUUCGGACCAAAUGGGGUAGUUGGAGCCAUCCAACUUGAUUCCAAUAUGUGCGGAAGCUUCGGGGUCAACUAUACCAUGCUAAAUAUGAGAACCUAUGAGAACAUAUUGUUUGUGGGAAUUUUCUGUUUAUUCUUCUCCUUGUAAGAGGCCAUAUUUAUAGUACAACAUAUAUAUAUAUACAUUUUCUGUUUAUUCUUCUCCAUGUUAUUAGGAACGUAAUAACUCCUAAUUCUAUUUACAGUAAGAAAUCAUGAAUUAAAGUAAAUCAAUUACAUCUAAUAUAGGAAUUCUUGGCGUAUAAGAAAAGUAAAUGCAGGUCCACAAGUCAUGCGAAUAUAUACAACCAUACUAUUUUUCAAAUUUGUAUCAACUUUCUCACAUGGAAGAUGUCUACCAUUUUUACAAAUAUUAAUGAGUCUCACCAGCUAAAUAAUAUACACGGUAGAAGUUGCACGAAAACAUUGUUUGCAACAAAUUGAUGGCUCUUUCAACGGAAAAACCUAUAGUUAGAGGGGAAAAGAAACAAAAAAGCUUGCCUUGGACAAAAGUAUAUAGUAAUUUGGUUUGAUAAUUUUAGUGGCUCCCAACCGGACAAUAUAUAAAUUGGGUUGAAACGAAAAUGGAGUACAUAAAACUUAACUCACCUUUAAUCAUUCUCAACAUCACGAUUUACUUGAUGCACCAAACAAGGCUCCUUCUGUUCCAUUAUUCGAAACCUCAAACUUGACAUAACCACAAUCAACCCUCAAUAGCAUUCUCUAUCUCCCAAUCAGUUCCACCGAAAAACCGUGCCUCACUAUGACAGGACCCGACCCAAAUUCCACUUUGGAAUCUGAAUCAAACCCUGUGCGUGUUCGACACCUGGCCGGUGCCGAGCACACUUAACCAAAUUGCCCUUCUAACUAAUAUUCACAAUGGGUUAUCUACUAUAGACAUCACUGAACUUGGCCCCUAGUUGCAAUUGGAUCCAUGAACCUUUUUUUUGCGGCAAUUACAUCCGUUAACUCGAUAAAUAGUUCCCACUGUGGUCCUGCCAUUGAACUCUAUCAAUUUGUCUGUUAAAAUGAGGGAUAAAAACGUCCUUUCGAGAAUGGAUUGAACAUAACCACAAUCCAAAAACAAAAUCAGAUGGAAAAAAAAUUCCCAAACAUGACUAGAAAAACGAAACACCUAAAACCCAUAAGAAAAUCAUGAUCUAAUCACAAACACCAACAAAACACAAUUCACAAGCUUCACACACUCGUAAAGUUCUCGGGUUUACUUAAAAACUAUACAUUUGAAGUUCCAAUUGGCUGAAUUUCGCUUCAAAGGUACAAAUUCAGCUGCAUGCACUAAAUGGGUCUUUGAAUUUAUACUCUUUUUGUGUGUUUGGAUAAGUUUGCAAUAAUGGGUUGUUGAAUUUAUGUUGCUCUUUUUGUGUUCACUGCCAGUUUUCCUGGUUUUGCUUUUAGAUAUUAUAACUAGUUUACCUCUUUCAGUGUCUCUGUUUCUUUUGUUGUGUUUUGUUGGUUCUGUUUGUAAAUAUGGAUUCUUGUAAUGUUCGCUGGAGUUCUUACUUCACUCCACUUCCACUGUGUCAUCGAAUUGAAAGAGAAAGCUUGAUUAUUGUUUUUCAGCGAUAAUGUAAAGGUGGAGGUAUACCUGAAUGGACUCUCUACACAGGAUUGGGGAUAACUGUUUGUGUUUGUCCAGUCUCUCCCUCUCUCCUGCAACCCAUUCCCCCUCCUCCUUAGCCCACCCCCUCAAAACUCAGAUCCCAACCCAACCUGCAACCCACCCCCCAUCUCCCAACCCGCAAAACCCAGAACCCACCGAGCUCAGGAUGGCCAGCUCCGUUGUGAUUCUAUUUCUCCAAUUUUCCCCUAAUUCUUUUGAGAUGUUCAUGUCUUGAAAGCUUUCAAAAAUUUCUCCUUUUGUUUGUUGUUUGUUGUUGUUAAUAGAGCCAAGUAAAUCCUAUGUGGUUUCUACCAAUCACAAACUCUUCGAUAUGGAUUUGUAUUGUAAACUUGUGAAGAUGGAGGUGGGGUUGUUAGGGUUGAUGAUGGAUAAAGAAGGUGGAGUUGGGGUCAAUGAUGGAUGAAGAACCCGAAAGGACGCUUUUACCCUCUCACUUUGACAGAUAAAUUAACAGAGUUGGACGGUAUAACCCAAUUGAAACUAUUUAUCUAGUUAACGGAUGUAAUUGCCUCAAAAAAAAGUUCACGGACUCAAUUGCAACUGGAGGCCAAGUUCAGGGACGUCUACAGUAGAUAACCCUAUUCACAAUCUUUUCAAGUUUGACUUUUGCAGAAAAUUCGGCAGUCUCCCUUGUAAAUUGCUCGUUUCCCAAAAAUUUUACCUGUAUAAAACAUGAUUUUAUAAUCCCAAACAUUCAGCAUGCACAAUAAUAGAAUUCAUGCAACCAAUCAUCAAAUUUUUAUGGCAUCGGGCCUCUUUAUACCGAAUAAAUCAUUCUGCUAUCUGUAACUGAUCCCAACUUUUAGAACAACAUGAAUAUGUUAUCAAAUUUCAAAAUAACUUACUGAACAACCUUUCAAUCACUUUAUCUUGUGGCUGCACCUAGUAACUCUAGGUUGCCUACAUACCCUUACCAAGGGAUCAAGCCACACGUAGUUCUUUCACUUAUUAUAUUUACACAUAAUUAGGCUACACAAAGAAUUUCCUCAAAUCCAUGAAUCAAUUUAUAUUUUUCUCACGUAAAUCAUAUGUAAUAACAAACAAACUCAUAAAACGCUUUUAAUUCUUCCUUCAAAGCUCACAGAAAACUCAUGUACACGAAUGAAGAACAAAACCAUUCAUUACUUGCCUCAUAAAAUCAGAAAAGCAGUUAUUAAAACUUUUACCCAAAAAUACCAAGAGAAAAUCCUCAUUUUUUGUUUAAACCUCUUAAAAACCCAAAUAUUCUCCACCUAGGCGUACUCCCAUUCAUAUUCCGUCAAUUCCUUUAAUAUACCGUCAAUUACUAUAAUUUUCCGUCAAUUCCAAUAAUGUACCGUCAAUUCCUUGUGUCACAUAAUGUGACAAAUCCUCUCAAGCCUCGCAAACACAAAGUCAACCUGAGCCGCAAUCCUCGCACCACACGGUUCAAGUGUCCCUGAAACUUGUGGGGCAUUAUCAAAAAUAACAAAGUUGUUUCAAGGCAACUGGGGGGUACCCUCGGGUGGGUUUGAAAACCUUAUACCAAAACUCAUCCUAAAAUUUCUCAUACUCCACAAAUCCAUAUUUCAAAUCUUUUCUUAACUUCCCAAAAAUCAGUACUCAACUACCUUAGAAUUUACACUCCAUACUGUUGAGAACUUGUGUCCAUAACUUAUCUUUUCAAACCACUAUGUGUGUGUGUAUAUAUAUACACACAAUUCACAUAACCAGUCAAUAACGUUCCCCAAAUUCAUAUUAAUAUAUUUUGUCCAAAUACUUCAUCAUAAUAUGCAUCGAAAACUUCUCAAACAUAUAUAUCCAUAUUCAAAACAACCAUGACCCUUAAAAUCAAAAUAGUCAAAAUUCCACUUUUAAAACAAUGUACUUCUCGAAGGGUGAAACUACCUCAGAAGACUCACGGUCAAUUGAGGCUCAAACUUUAUAAAUUGGGUCAACCGGGCCUGCAGGGCCCAUGACCUCCCAUUUUCGAACCAAGAGUUCCUACGGCUUCAACAAGGUUUACUAAACCUGUCAUGCUAGUUUGGUCCGAAUCGAACGGUCGGAUCGCUCACGAUCGGACGGUUAUCCUUUAUCUAAACUUUGAAUUAUUGAAUCGGAGUAUUCAAGACUCCGAUUCUCGAUCCGCAAAUUUCUAUACGAUCCUAGAAGUGCCUAGAUCAACAUAUUCAAAAAUAAAGUCGAUCCCACGGUCCGAACAUAUCGAACCAAGAUUACGCCCAAUAUGCGAUAUCCGAUCGACGACCAACCGAUAACCAAAAUCAUAUCCGAGCAUACCGUCAUGCUCAGGACGACAUGAUGAUUAUUUUAGGACUCAAGGACAGGCCAAAAAGUGAUCCACGGGCCGCCACACGCGCCGGCAGCGCGUGGUUGUCCAAAGCGAUUCAGCAAUCGGAAAAUCUCCAAACCGUCGGUCAAGACUUAUACCUACAUAAUCAGCACAUAGAGUGGAGCAACUUUUGAUCUUGGACCUACCCCAAAAAGUCGACGGAAGUGGCCCGAAUCGGAGGCCGAAAUUCGACCAAACUUUAUUUACGUCUCAAAACACAGAAAUUUCUCCUAACCAACACAACCAACAGCUAGAACACCUCGAGAGGUUGAGAAAGCAUACUUGGAUCGACGGAAAUGGUAGCCGGAAACGUUCAAAAGAGCGUCAGAAAAUUCUCACAGAAACCGGUCAGUUUUCUGGUUUUUUCCGGCCAAAACCGACGGCUGGGGCGGCUGGGCUGGGGCGGGGCUAGAAGAGGAAGAUCUUGCGGUCCUUUUGGGACAAGUACCGCCCCAAGUGGUGGCUCUUGAUGCCACCGACUGGGAAGAAAAAUCCAAGACGGGGGGUGGUUGUUCUGUCGCACGAAAACAGAGAGGAGAGAGAGAGAGAGAGAGAGAGAGAGAGAGAGAGAGAGAGAGCGUGAUAUCAGAUUUUUAAAAUACCUUUUUUCAAAAAAUGUAUGAUUUUGCCACUAUAUUUUUCAUCGUAACUUCUUCGUUACAACUCAGAUUUGAGUCCACUACGUGUCUACGGACUCAUCUCGACGUGCUCUACGUAAAAGUAUAAUUGAAAUCCCCAGAUUCCAUCCCGAACAAAAAGUCAACUUUUAAACCAUUAAAAUAUUUUAAGGGUAAAAUUGUCUUUUAUUUGAAUAAAUUAAUAAUUAAAAAUUGAUUUAGGAUCGGGUUGUUACAUGCUACAUACGAAUUCUAUAGUGAGGGCCUUAUAUCUAAGGCCCUUAGAUGAUCUCUUCGCUGUUAGAUUAAAUUAGUUAGCCAUUGGAUCAAAUUGGUUAGUUUGAUCCAACGGUUAAGAGAUAUGACGUCAUAGCUUUAAUUUGAGCUGCGAAUCCUACCCUGGAAACAUAAUUUGUGCUGCGAUCUGAUUCCAUCAUUAAAUAAAUUGACGGAUAUGAAUAUUUGUCCAUCUGUAAUAGAAAUUACAUUAGUAGGAAUAUAAGACAAAACGUCUCCCGAUUGGGUCUCAACUAUUGGUAAAGCGUGCCUUAGAUAAGGCCCUCACUCACUCCUUAUAAACCCAGGCCAGGUCCCUUAACUUUUCAAUGUGAAUACAAAACGAAUAUCCAAUAGUUAUUUCUCUUGUCACAACUGCUUUGUUACAAAUUAUGGUCAAGAAUUUAUUAGUUUGAUUAGUGCGUUCGGAAACAAUUUUUGGUUUAUGAAAAAUCAAUUUUGUGUAAGUAUUUUUUUUGUUAAUCUUCGCACCAAAUUGGAUUAUAACAGGUUUAGUACUUUUGGUUUAUAAGUCAUCCAUGUCAUAAAUCUUUUCUUUCUAAUCUGACAUAGUCUUGGAAGAAAAAAUCUUUUGCCCAAAUUGGAAACUGAGCGAAGAGCCAUUGUAGGUAAUUCAUGUUCUAAAGCUGAGCAGCUUAAUUAAUUACUAAUUAUAGGAUGGUUGACCUACAUUCAACUUCUUAAUUGGCCAAAUAAAUAUUAACGGUGUUGAGCUUUCCGAUGGGAGUAUAAAUUGGGCUGAAAGCAAUGGAGUUUCAUCAUACUCCAAACAAAAAGGAAAUAACAAAGUCUCAAGAUGGGUUUGAAACUGAAAAAUGUCUUGCCAAUGUUUGUGUUCUUGUUGUUAGCAUCCACAGCUAAAGCUCAAUCUGCUGCCUUAGAUGUGACAAGUGCAAAAUAUGGUGGAAAGCCAGGCUCUGAUAUUACCCAGGUAACAAAAACAUUUGUAUUCAUAUUCGGUUCUGAUUAGAAUUUGUUUCUACAAUUGUUUGCCAAACUAAAUCAUUAACAGUUUUAAAUUUGCGUAAUGUUAAUUAGGCUUUAGAGAAGGCUUGGACAGACGCAUGUGCAUCAACAACACCAAGUAAAAUUGUUGUUCCAAAGGGAAUAUUCAAGUUUGUAGGAACAACUUUUAAAGGUCCUUGCAAGGCUGCUAUUGAGUUUCAGCUCCAAGGAACAUUGCAGGCUCCAGUAGAUGGCAGCCAGCUCCCGAAGGACGACACUUGGAUUGGUUUUGACCACGUCGACGGGCUCACCUUGUCAGGUGGUGGAACUUUUGAUGGCCAAGGAGCACAGUCUUGGAAAAACAAUGAUUGCAACAAAAAUAGAAAAUGCAAAUCUAAACACAUUGUAAGAUGAUUUAAUCCGACCAUGUUGUUUUAUAUACCUGAAAAUCUACCUGUGUCGCAUAGGAACGUUUGCGAAAUCUUGCUCAUUGAUCAAUUCUUGACUUGAUGAUACGUGAUCCAGAUUCACAGCCUGACAAUAUAAACAUAUUUGGGUCUGAUUGGUUUUCUUAAUAUAUGCAGAAUUUGAGGUUCCACGUACUCACCAAUUCCAAAAUUUUGGACGUAACUUCGAAGGAUAGCAAAAAUUUCCACGUCAAUCUUCAGAAGUGCGAGAAGGUUGAAAUCAAUGGAUUUACCGUCUCAGCACCUAAGGAAAGCAUGAACACAGAUGGAAUUCACAUCGGUCGUUCAACUGGGAUCAACAUCACUGACACAACCAUCGGAACUGGGGAUGAUUGUAUUUCGAUCGGUGAUGGUACCAAGGACCUCACCGUGACCAACGUUACUUGCGGGCCAGGCCACGGCAUAGCCAUCGGGAGCCUUGGAAGGUACCCAGAGGAAGAACCUGUGUCCGGCAUCUAUAUUAAGAAAUGCACCUUGACUAAUACAACGAAUGGUGUGAGGAUCAAAACAUGGCCUGCUUCCCCAAAAGAUAGCACUGCCUCGGAUAUUCACUUUGAGGAUAUUACCAUGGUUAAUGUUGGUAACCCUAUCCUCAUUGACCAAGAGUACUGCCCAUGGAACGAAUGCAAAAAAGGGGUAUCUAUCUAUAACAAUUUAUUAACAUCAUAUAUAUGUUCCUUGUUAAUCAAGUCAUCAUUUAUUUAAUCUUUAAAAAGAUUUAAACUAAUCAAUUAAUGAAUGGUUUUGUGUAGGUUCCUUCCAAAGUUAAGAUCAGCAAUGUUAGCUUCAAGAACAUCAAGGGCACAUGUACUGACCCAGUUGCUGUGAAGCUUGCAUGCAGCCCAGGCCUGCCAUGUGAGAAUGUGGAAUUGAGUGACAUUGAUCUCAAGUACACUGGAGACAAAGGUCCUAUUACCUCUGUGUGUUCUAAUGUCAAGCCGACAAUUAAUCGCGUGGCACAGCCUCUUGCUUGCGCUACCGGCGCUGCUGCUGCUUGAUCUAACAAGAACAAACCAUGCUGCUGAUGUUUCUUCAGAGAUGCAUUGGUUGUGUGCUCUUCGAUUUUGUGCUAAUUGUACUUGGUGUUUUUAUCUAAGAGGGGGAAAAUAUCUCAGUACAAUUUUUUGUUACAUCUUAAAAGAGAUGAAUAAAUUAGUAGGAAUUAGAUGAAAAUAAUCAUGGGAAAGAGAAAGAAAGUUUUAUUUGAUUAAAAAAUAAUGUUUUUGGAAUAUGAAUCUUCUUUGGAUAUUUGUUUAACCAAAUUUUCUCAAUUAGCCUCUUUAUUUAAUUGUUUCUGUAUGAAUGACCAUCUCGACCAGUAGUGUGCUAGGAAGGGGAAAAGGGAGGGGUGAUUCAAUCCUAUGAUUUUUAUUUUUUAUGCAAGAAUAGAAGUAAAAACUUCAAACAAAAAAGAAGAAUGAGGAUUAUUAAUUCAAGUAAUGUGUUGAGUUUAAACACACAUUAGAAAAAGGGUAAACUGCUAAAUACCCCUUUGAACUAUCACGCUUGUCGAAAUCUCCACCCUAAAUUAAUUUUUCAGCCAAUUUAGCCUUUAUAUUAAAUUUCUUCUCCCACUUCUCCCUUGCCGUUAGCUUUUGACAAUUUCCAUCAAAUCUCUAUGAAAAAAGUACCAUGUUAGGCAUAUACUUCACUGUUAAAUUAAAAUUUUAUUUUUUUUCUCUGGUUCUUCAAAGUGCUUGAAUGUGGGUGAAAUAAAUCGGGAGGAGAGGGAAUUAUGGUUUCUGCAAGUGGGGGUUGGGAGGACGGGGGAGGUCAGGGGAUAUAUCUGUGGGUGGUGGUUGGUGGUUGGGAUAUGGGGUCCGAAGAAAUCAGAAUGAGGGAGAAAAAAUCGGGGGAGAGGGUGUUGAUUCUGGGUUUUGCGGGUUAGGGGGAAUGGGGGAAACUAGAAUUUAUAAAUAAAAAAAAAGCUGAAACUAGUCCAUCAACUCUAUAUUAUUCGCUCCAUUGUUCCUACUUUUACAUUCUGUCAAUAUUUCUGUUAAAUAUGAGGGAAAAUUGGUCAUUAUUUACCCUAAAAUUAGGUUAAAUCUAAAAGAAAAUUAGACAGUAGGACCACUGGAGCGAAUAAUGUAGAGGUGAGGGACCAUUUGAACAAAUAAUUUAGUUGAAGGACCAAAAUGUAAAUCAGGUAUAAGUUUGAAGACCAUUUCAGUACUUUGCCCGUUUUCUUAAUGCUAUACCUUGUAAAAUUUCAAAUUGACCCUUAUAUUUGACAGACAUUUGGAUGGAAUUGUGAAAAAGCUAACGGCCUGGGUGAAAUUGACGAAUAAAUUUAAUACAAUGACUAAAUUGGCUGAAAAAUUAAUUCAAGAUGGAGAUUCGACAAGCGUGAUAGUUCAGGGGGGAUUCGACAGUUUAUAAUCUUAAAAAAACUUAAAAAUUUGCUUAUCUACUAUAAUCUGCAUUUUUUAUGCGAGCCAUAUUAAUCAUUCUUGCUUCUUUGUAGUUGUGGAUUACGACAAAAAAAUGUGCCAAUCCCCUUGCAAUAUGAAUCUUCUUUGGAUAUUUGUUUAACCAAAUUUACUCAAUUAGCCUCUUUAUUUAAUUAUUUCUCUUCCCAGAUAUUUAGUACAUUGUAUAUGUUGUCUGUUGUGAAUGCGAGCAUCUAUCUUAACAUCUUAGUAACUUUUUGAGUAUGCUAUCGAUUUUAGGCUAUUAAUAGUGCUUGGAAAGAAGCAUGCGCACCCACAGCUCCGAACACGGUUGUGAUAGCAAAAGGAAACUACAUGGCUGGUCCAGUGAAGUUUCAAGGGCCCAGCAAAUCGCUGGCUAGCGUUCGAGUUGAAGGAACCCUGCAGGCUCUUGCAGAGCCAGAAAAGCUCAAGUCACAAGAUGGUUGGGUCGUUUCCCAAAAUAUUGAUGGGUUAACAGUCUCAGGAGGUGGCACUUUUGAUGGCCAAGGAUCAAUCGCUUAAUCCAAAAAUGAUUGUGCCAAGAGUACUGCCCAUGGAUCGAAUGCAAAGAAGGGGUAUCUAUCUAUAACAAUUUAUUAACAUCAUAUAUAUGUUCCUUGUUAAUCAAGUCAUCAUUUACUUAAUCUUUAAAAGGAUUUAAAUUGAUCAAUUCAUGAAUGGUUUUUUGUAGGUUCCUUCCAAAGUUAAGAUCAGCAAUGUUAGCUUCAAGAACAUCAAGGGCACAUGUACCGACCCAGUUGCUGUGAAUGCCUGCUGUUAAUGUAUGCAUUUUGAGUUUUUUCUUUUGGCUUCCCUAGACAAUUUUGUAAUAGGACAAUCAUUGUAGUUUCCCAAGCUCUAAGUUUAGAUUAAGAAUUACUUCUCUAGGUGUUCUUAUCUGCCUACAUUCUGAUGGAAAACAAUGCGUUUAACAAAGGUAAAUUCUGCAUUACACUACAUUGCAUUCACUAAAUUUCUGAAGAUUAUGACUAGUCAUCUUUCCUUCGUAUGACUAGUCAACCUUUGUUUCAAUUAGGAUUUCCAGCUCACUGUUUCCAGCUGGGGCUUAACCAUUUUUCUACGAAUUUCUCAGCUGCCAUGUGUCUAUUCUGACCUGAGAAUUUUUGGUAAAAGCCAAAGAAUUCCUCAUUUGGCAGCCGUCAUUUUUGUAGGCAAGUUUUGGAAAGUUUCUCUGUAAACUUUCUCUUCUUCCUCAAGUGUAACCUUCAUAUUUUUCAUCUUUGAGUUUUCCAAAAUGUUCCUUUUUGAAAACUGCAUUUGAAAUACGAAAACCUCAUCUUGCAAGAUCAAACACUCUCUCAUAUAUAUCUAGGUCAGAUUCAAGAUUGAUUUCUUCAAGAGUAUGGUUUCUUGAAGAAAUUGGUCAUUCUCCUUUGAAUCCAAAUUUUGGUUUCUGUCUGAGUUGGAACUUGCAAGCUGGUGCCAUUGGAUGAAUGAGCUGGAGAAUGAGCUGUCAUUGCCAUGAAGAACUGAGCUUCAAGCUUUGCUAAGUUAGAGAAGAAGAUUGCACAAAGGAGGCAUAGCUCAUCUUCCUAAAUAGAUCUAGGUUUUUCUUGAGCUUGCUUGUGUUCCUUUGUAAGAAUCUUUUUCUACUUAGUGGAUUGCAUGGUCGGUUGAUGACCCCUAGUUUUUCCCAAUGGUGGGUUUCUGGGUGAACAAUUUCUGAUUGCAUCUCUGUAAUUUUUCUGGGUUUCUGUUCUUGGUGGUUGACUAGUCAUCGUAAGAAUUCUGGGUUGUGUUCUUGGUGGUUGACUAGUCAUCGUAUGAAUUGUGGUUGACUAGUCAUUGUAUGAAUUCUGAGUUUGUGUUCUUAGUGGUUGACUAUUCAUUGUAUGAACUCUGGGUUUGUGUCCUUAUAGUUGACUAGUCAUCAUUAUCUGUUGUUUGGUGUUUACUUGAUUAUGAUGAUUUCACACACUUUCACCAUAGUUGUUGCUAGCACAGGGGAUGCCUAGAUUGACGGGUCCUUCUGAGUGCCUAGGUUGUCACUAGUAAUCUUCUAGGGUUGCAGGUACAUUGUGGCAUGCUCUGUGUGUAUUCUUGAUUGUGGUUGUUCAUGCCUAGCAGUUGACUAGUCAUAAGUGUACUUGGUCAAGGUCUGAAGUGUGUGAAGAUUGUUGCGUUUUGUUUAAGUGUCGUAAAAGUUAACCCUUGUCACCUAAGUACCAAUUUCAAUUGGCACUACUACAAAAAAGAAAAAAGACGACGGUAAAUCACCGUCGUGUAUUCGGUUUUUCAAUGGUCGUGGAAUCCACCGUCAUCUUUUCCCUCAUAAACCACGACGCUAAAUCACCGUCGUUGUUAAAAUAUACAACGUCAUCAACAAAUACAAAACGACGUCUUUGUACUGCAAAAAGAUCUAAAAAAGCAGUCGAGGAUGAGAAUAGACGACCAACUCUCUAAAAAAACCGUCAUUAAAAAGGAAAAAUAUGACACAUAUUAACAGAACAAGGCCGCAAGAUAGACAUACAACGACGAAAAUUAAAACAAGACGCCGUUAAAUAUCAUUAUCACGACAAUAAUCCUUCCCCGACGUGAUAUGAUGACGUCGUAUUUUUUAACGUUCAGAUUAUAUAUCUCGUUUUUUAGACGUCGGUAUUAUGGGAUUGGAGUCGUGUUAUUUUGAAUUACGUGGCGGUUCUUAAUCCUUCCCCGACGUGAUAUCCUGAAUAAUUCUUCACAAUAGCGUCGUGGUUCUUCAUUAUUACGUUGCUUUAAGACGUCGGUAAAUAUGCUGAAUAACUGGUUCACAAUAACGUCGUGUUUUAUUUGAACGUAGAAAGUGAAGAAAUCACAUUACAAUAUAUUACAAAAUUAAUGUCAUACACUGCCAAUUACAUAAGCAUCAUUCAAUCCAUAUAUCUUCACACCCAUCUCGAAUAUUUUGACCACCUAACUCACCCACCAGUUCAUCAAAUGUGUCAACAUUUGGCAUCCUUCUAGUAAAUGGCUCACACUCAAUUAUCACAUCACCUAAUACUUCAUCACCAAUAACAUCAUUAUAUUCUCUACUAGGCAUUGAUAACACUACCGACCAACCACGAUGCAUCGGGUCGUCAACAAAAAAUAUUUGUUUGACUUGAGAAGCCAAAACAAAUUGGUCAUUCCUAUGUCCAAUUUUACUCAAAUCUACAAGGGUAAAUCCAAGUUCGUCAACUACAAGACCAGAACUAUCUAUCCAAUCACACCUAAAGACUGGGAUUGUAAACUUUUGGUAGUCAAGGUCCCAAAUUUCUUGAAUGACACCAUAGAAACCCAUAUUUGAGAGAAUUGGGUUUUUAUCCUUGGCACUAGCAACUUGCAUGGUAUGUGCAAGUAAAUAAACUCCACUAUUUUGAGUUGUCCGCACAUCAUCUUGUGCCUUGAUAUUGAAUUUAAUACCUUUAAUAAGAUAGCUCCUAUAUAAUGGCACUGACAUGUUUGGACCAGCUGCUAGCCACCUUAAAUUUUCUGAUACGCCAUGAUUGUCUUCCUCAAGUUCACUUUGAACCUGCAAAUUAAUCAUAUCUUAAUUCAAUCUAACAUAGAAAUAAGAAGAAAAUUAAAAGAGAAAUAUGUUAUUCAACAACAUAUACCUUGAAGCGUAGCCAUUGAAUGAAAGUGCUAUUGUGCUUAUCCUGCAGCCACUUUGUUCUCUUUCUAAAUUUUGGAUAAGCAGUCUUGAUGUGGAUCAUAUGUUGCCUACAUGACACGAAAAAUUCAAGCAUUACGGUCCCAAAUAUAGAAGAUAAACAUAAGAAAUAAUUUAAAAUGGAAACUUAAAGAAUAAAACUCAUACGUACUCGAUAUAAGGUAGGACUUCCUCCGUAUUCUCCAAGACAUAUAGAUGUGCUUGAUUCAACAGGUCCUGAUCAACUACGCUCACUGUGCAACUUGAUAAUGGCUUUGAAAGUCCCAUCUUUUGGCUUGAAGGCACUCCAACUGUACUAACAUCAGAUAAAUGCUGAGUACAAAACUCUACCGCUUCUUCAGCUAUAUACCGCUCAGCAAUGCAACCUUCGGGACGAGUACGAUUCUGAACAUACCCCUUCAGCACUUUCAUAUAUUUUUCAAACGGAUACAUCCACCUAAAAUAUACUGGCCCACAUAGACGAACUUCUCUGACAAGAUGUACUACUAGAUGAACCAUGAUAUCAAAGAAUGAAGGGGGAAAGUACUUCUCAAGCAAACACAGAGUAACUACUAGAUCUUCUUCCAACUUAUCUAGCUUGGAAACAUCAACAGUCUUUGCACAUAUAGCAUUGAAGAAGAAGCACAAACGAGUUAUUGCAUACCUUGCAGGCUUCUCCAAAACAGAACGAAUUGCCACAGAGAGCAAUUGUUGCAUUAAGGUAUGACAAUCAUGUGAUUUAAGGCAAAGAAGACUUGAAUCUUGUAAAGAUACAAGAUUUUUAAUAUUUGAAGAAUAACCUUCAGGGACCUUCAUACCAUAGAAAGAAUUGCAAACCUCUCUCUUCUCUGCUCUGGACAAAUUCCAAGGCCCAGGAGGCAAACGAGUACGUCUUUCUCCAUACUCGGGUUGCAAAUCAGUUUUGACCCCUAUGUUCAAUAAAUCUAAUCGAGCAGCAAUCCCAUCUUUAUUUUUUCCAGGGAUCUCCAGCAAUGUACCAAUGAUACUAUCACAAACAUUCUUCUCAAUGUGCAUAACAUCUAGGGCAUGCCUCACAGGAAGGUAUUUCCAAUACUCGAGAUCAAAGAAUAUUGAUUUCUUCUUCCAACAAACUCUGUCACCAUUUUCAACCAUAUGCAGCACUUCUUCUCCGGUUAAUGGCUCGGGAGGUAUGCCAUAUUCAGGUUUCCCAUUAAAAGCUGCACGUUGCCUCCUAUAUGGAUGAUUGAUUGGUAACCAUUUUCUAUGCCCAAUGUAACAAAUUUUGUGGCCAUUUUUCAACCUGUGACUAGGUGUAUCAUCGCUGCAUAUUGGACAAGCUUUAUAUCCUUUAACAACACAACCAGAUAAGUUUUCAUAGGCGGGGAAAUCAUUAAUUGUCCAUAUUAAUGCAGCUCUGAGUGUAAAGUAUUCUCCAUUAUAUGCAUCAUACACUCCUCUAAUCCCAUCCCACAAAGAUUUUAAAUCAUCAAUCAAAGGCUCCAAGUAGACGUCUAUAUCAUUUCUGGGUUGUUUAGGACCGGAAAUCAAUAAGGUUAACAUCAUGAACUUUCGUUUCAUGCACAGCCAUGGAGGGAGAUUAUAUGUAACUAAGAUAACCGGCCAACAACUAUAUCUGCUACUUAGAGAACUGUGGGGAUUGAAUCCAUCAGAUGAAAGAGCCAAUCUCAAGUUUCUCGGCUCAUUACCAAACUCAGGCCAUUUAUCAUCAAGAAGUUUCCAAGACGGGGAAUCCGCCGGAUGAGACAUCUGACCGUCAAUUGAUUUUCUAGCAGCAUGCCAAGUCAAACUCUUAGCUGUCUCAUGUGAUUGAAACAUCCUUUUAAACCUUGGAAUUGGAGGAAAAUACCACACCACCUUCGCUGGCACACCCUCUUUCAAGAUUGAAUCUUUGCCUUCCUUCCACCUUGAGAUACCACAAGUAGGACAAUUAGUUGAAUCCUCAUACUCCUUCCUAUACAAGAUGCAAUCAUUGGGGCAUGCGUGCAUUUUCUCAUAACUCAGCCCCAAUGCACACAAAGUCUUUUUAGCCUCAUACAUGGAGGUUGGUAUUGUAUUUCCUUCUGGAAGCAAAUCGCCUUGAAGUAUCAAUAAUUCUGUAAAACAGACAUCACUCAUCCCAUGUUUUGCCUUCAAAUUAUACAACUUCACUAAUGCCGAUAACUUCGUGUACUUUCUACAACCAGGGUACACUGGUUGAUCUCCAUCCCCAAUCACAUUGGCAAACUCAUACGGAUCGGAACCAAAAUCACCAAAAUCAUUAUCAUCCAUAUCAAUUUCUUCAGACACAAAACUGUACCUACUAUGGCCAUCAUCUUCUUCAACAUUUCUACUAGCAUUAGUAGUUGCUUCCCAAGGUUCUCCGUGAAAUGUCCAAUUCUUAUAGCUUUGGUCAAUUCCAUUAAAGUAUAAGUGAUCCCUUAUAAUUCCAACCCCAAACAACUUCAAAUUAACACAUUUAACACAUGGACAACGGAUAUGUGUUGUAGUUAGAAGAUUUUCUACAGCAAAGUUCAAAAAUGCUUCCACCCCAAACUCAUAUGCCUUCAAUCUUCUAUCCGAGUGCAUCCAUGACUUAUCCAUCUCCGACACUAUAACCUAUUAUCUAUAAUAAAGUGAAAAUACAGGCAAUAACCAUCACUAUAGCAGAUUAUACAAAGAUCUAAUAGCAAGUAAUACACAACAGAGACGACGGGUUUUAAACAAAAACAGACGUAUUUGGCAUAUAUAGACAACGGAUUUUCAACAGACGUCGUCUAAUAUAAGUAAUACAAUCGUGUAAUCGUCGUCGUAUGCCUAAAAAGGCGUCGUGUCUCAGUUUAUUUUCAAGAACCCAAAACCCAUUAAGAACACAACAUAUAUAUGAAACCAAGCAAGAAACCAACAUAUACAUGAAACCAAGCAUGAAAACAAUAAAUCCAUUCCCAAUUCAACAUAACAUAGGGUGAUUAAAAGAUCCGACAAAAUUAAAUCCAUUCCCAAUUCAACAUAACAGAUAAUGUAAUCCAUGAACCCAUUAAACAGAAAAUCCAUGAACCCAUACCUAUAAGCACAUUAUUAACAGAUCGCAAAGCAUAUACCUAAAACCCUUUAACAAAACAACCUAAUAUCAUUCAAUGAAUUUACAAGGGGAAGAUAGGGUUUGUACUUACAGGUUGGACGAGCUCACAGAUUCGACGGAGCCUGGAGAGUGCAACUUUUAAUUAGAGCAGAAGUGAGAGAGCGAAAUGUUAUGUUGCGCGAAAUCUGAAAAUUUUAGGGUUCAGGGUUAGAAGUAUAAGAAUAAGAGCAAAUCUAAAAAAUUUAGGGCGCGCGAAAAUUUUUAGAGAGCGCACUCUUUAAAACGUCGAAAGAAAAACCAUGGCGAAAGUUCUACAAGAACCGACGUAAAUGUAAUAUUCCACGACGGAAACACUGAACGUAACGCCGUUUAUUUUGACGCUUCAUUUUUCGGAUUAAUUUUAAAUUUAUUUUGAAUAUUUUGAUAUAAAGACGACUGAAAAACCACGGCGGGAUUAAGAAAUUGAAAACGUUGUAAAUUAUAAUAGACGACUUACAUAUUAAAUUGACGUCGUUUAAAGUAUAAACCAUGUCGGAUAUUUUACUGCACGACGUAACAUAUGUAUUCCACGACUCAACCACCGUCGUUAAAAAUUAAUACCCUAAACCCUUAAAACUAAAUUAUAUAAUUUUAAAAAUUAAGUUUAUAAAAGGGUUUAUGGUUUUACAGCCUAAUAUAUACCCUAGACUACCCAAAAAUUAUACUUUAAAAAUAAACCCCAAUAAAUAACAACCCUAAUCUCUAAACCCUAGACUCUAAACCCUAAACCAUAAAACUAGAAGUGAUUUUAUGACUCAUCAAAACAAUUUUGUUUUGGAUGGUCAUUUUAAAUUUUUGUUAUUCAAAAUGAAUUUUUUCAAGGUUUAGCGGGAAGAAAAUAUAUCAAUGACUUCAUAGGAGUUGACUUUGCAUUUUUCUGAUUUAUUUUAAAUUUAUUUUGAAUAUUUUGAUAUAAAAAUAAUAAAAUAUUCUUAUCACAACAACAAACCACGUCGGUGUUAAUAAAUUGUAGACGUUGUAAAUUUUAAUAGACGACUAAGUUGUUAAAAUGAUGUCAUUUAAAUGAGAAACCAUGGCGGAUAUUUAACUAUCCGACGUAAAAUAUAUAUUCCACGACUUAACCACUGUCGUUACAAAGUACUACCCUGAACCCUUAAGAAAUUGAAGACGUUGUAAACCAUAAACGACUCAAUUGUUCAAAGAACGUCGUCUAAAUAUCCUUUUACGUCGGAUUUGUUUAAAACGAAACAACAAAAAACGACGGUUUUUGACUUUAUUAGGUCGUUGGAAAUGUAUUACACGUCGGUUACGCAAUUUGUAUGUUUGUUUUUUUUUUAAUUUAAGAAAACCUCAACAAAUUUUUACAUUAUAUAUUAUAGCCAAAAUUUGUACAUUAUACAUAAAUAUCAAGUGUUCAAUAAUUCCCCUAUUCCAGGUGAAGGCAAACAAACUCUGCCCAUUCAUUCCGGACUUCAUCAAUUGCUUCUUGGGGGUAUGGCGCUUCCUGUUUUCCCUUGGCAUACUGCAUAAACAAUGACUAUUAGGGUUUAUAAAUAAAAAGAAAUUCAAUCACAGACGACGAUAUUUUUCAUAACCGACGUAGUAUAUUUAUUCAACGACGGUAAUUUUACAUGACCGUCGUUGAUAAUACAAAAAACGACGUAAAAUGUAUGAAGGUAAUUUCUUCUUACCUUCUUCUCAAAUGCCAAGGAAGGAUCCAUGAUGAUGUCCCUCAUGAAGCGCAUCACAUAAUACCCGCAUUCGACACUGCUGGGUUGCUUUGGUGUGCCUGACAGAGUUUUCCAAAUUACUGCCUUACGGCCUGAUCUGGCUAUGUGAGAAUUAUAAAUUUUUAUAACACUGUUCACGAUGUUUUUGGCCUCUUCAUCGACCACACGAUUUCCUGGCAGAGGAUCCAGAAAAUAGACGGUUUCCCUCUUUGCUCUCACAAUCAGCAAGAUCCAAUGACGGCUGCACAAAAUUAAUAUAAAAACAACGGUUAUUUACAAAAACGACGUAUUAUAAUAUUUCACACGACGAAAUAAAGUAGCAAUCGACGACAUUAUAUAUUUAUCACGACGAUAAAUAACUACCGACGUGGUUAGUAGUUUCAAACGACUCAAUAAAAUAAAACACCGACGUGGUUAGUUUAUACGCUGUCAUUUAUUGAAAAUCAUAAAAACAAAAUCCUGUUAAGGAGACUAACCCUGGAUUGUAAGGCAUCAUGAAAAUCUGUUCACCGUCAGUCCUCUGAAGUCGAGCUGCUACCAGUCGUGAUCUGUCAGCUAUUGUGCCAGAGUUGGCACUAACUGUAGCAGGGUCGAUAAAGCCUACCAUGCUGCACAUAUUUGCUUGUUUCAAAACAUCGUGUAAGUACCUAAAUAUAUAAAAUAAUAUAAACAAGUCAGCACAAAAAAACACACGACGGUUACGUAUAACAAAACGACGUAUUAUAAAAUUUCAUACGACGUACUGAAAUAAACAAUGACGUUAUAAUAUAUUUAUCACGACGGUACAUACUAACGACGUGGUUAGUUAGUUAAGACGACGCAAUAACGACGGUACAUACUAACGACGUGGUUAUUUUAGAAUGACAAACCUCAUAUAUACAGUAAUGACCGUAGCUCCUAUUUCUUCCAUGCCUGCAAAUUGUGUAAUAUCUUCAGGCAGGAGGAAGGUAUCGCGUUCUAGACCAAACACCUCCUUAUCAAUUGUAAAGUUCAGGGUCUUAUCCUGAGGCACGAGUGUCGUUUCCACAUAACGACAAAGGGAUUUUAAAGAAGAUGGCGCCUCCAUAUUUGAAUAAUCAACAACUUCAAAAACCUGUUUAAAAAAAUAAAAAAAAUGACGUGGUAAUUCAAUAAAAACGACGGUUUAAGGAAUAAAACGUCGUCUGAAAAGAAUUUAAACGACGGUGAAAAAACCGUCGUGGUGAAUAAUUUAUUACGUCUUAAAAAAAAUUCCGCCGUCUAAAUUGUAAACAAACGACGGUUUAAAGAAAAAUAUCGACGUCUGAAAUUUUGAAAAACAAAUAAAAGAGGCAAAGUUAUGUGAACAUACCUGGUCGUCAUGCUUUUCUUCAUCUUCUUUCUCCUUUUCAUCUUCUUUUUCUUCUUUCUUCUCUUCAUCUAUUACGUCAGGAAUGACUAACCCCGUCGUCUAAAAACCACAAAGUUUUAAAAAUAACGACGUUUAAUGGCGUGUAAAACAAGUAAACUAAAUACGACGUGGUAUUGAAAUACAAACGACGGUUUAUUUUUAAAAUCGUCGUGGUAUGUAUUUCAAACGACGGUUUAUUAAUAAUAACGACGUCUAAUAGUUUUUAAAAAAACAGAGAAUUCAAAGUUCAGAUAUGUUACCUUUUCUUCCUGAUGUUUCCCAUUUUUGGCAGUAUCAUCCUCAAAAUGUAGGGAUCUCACAUCACCUCCAGAGCAGCUUGCUUUGUCAGACAUUGGAUUUUUGGGACUUUGGCUAAUUCUUGGUUUAAGCAUGCUUGGAUCAAAAUUGGGAAUUAAUUGGGAAAGCUGACUCAGGAAAUGCUCCCUCUCAGCCUCUACCAAUUGCUUGGUUCUAGCCUCCAUCCUUAAAGCCUCUUCCCUUGCCUUAGCUUCCAUCUUUUUAUUCUCUUCUUGAAGGAGAACUCUUAAACUGUCCUUUAAACGGUCGUCAAAGCUCAUCCUCUGUGGUUUGGGUAAAUUGAAAUAUUGCCUUGGGGAAAUCCCAGCACCUACCCCUCUCACUCUGCCUGGAUGCUCGGGGCCCAAAGCCAUGGUCAGCACAUCAUUGCUGCCAGAUACAGUGACUUUGCCUUCCGAGACUUGUUUUUGUAAUUCAUCCUAAAACAAAGAUAUAUAAAAAAGUAAGAACAAAAAACACACGACGGUUAUUUAUAUACAAACGACGUAUUAUAUAAUUUCAGACGACGCAGUAACAUAUAAAUCGACGUUAUUAUAAUUUAUCACGACGGUAGUUAUACCGACGUGGUUAGUUUUUUAAAACGAUGAAAUGAAUAAACCACCGACGUCUUAUGCUAUAAUUACAGAAAACAGAGUAGUGAUUCCCGAUUCAGACCUUUAACGACGUUUUUUAAAAAAUUUCGACGUGGUAAUAUCAUUCACACGACGCAAAAUAUAACAUAAGACGUAAUAAGAAUUAUUCACAGUUUAAUAAAAAUUUAAAACAGAGUGAGUAGGCUUACAAUUAAUUUUGCUUUCUCUGCCACCUUUGGAUCCGGGAUGUUACCAUGUUUAUCCUGUCUAGCUCUCUUCCAUAAGGUAGAUCGAUCAAUUUCUACCCCAGGCAUGGUUUCCUCCAAUUGAUCCUCCAAACCAGCAUAUCCUUUUCGAGACAAUCGAUGAUUGUACUCAAGUUUCUCCCUAAUCUGUGCAUGUUGAGAAUGCACAGACUCAAAAUCUUUGGAUAACCUUGAAGCUACAAAGGCAUCCCAUUGUGCUUUCUCUAUGAAUUUAUAUGUUUCAGGGGGUUGGCUUAAUCUCUCCCUGUCAUUGGUGUAUGGAAGGAUAUAAUGCCUCGUUAGUGUAGACUUGAAAUCCUUCCAUUUCUUGGCAGCAGAAGCUAACACAGAGUUCUUGCCCCCUUGACCUACCACACAAGCAAUGUCAACUGCUUCCCAAAUCUGCUCCUUUAUAUCCUUGGGGAUUUGAGCCCAUUUCAUGUCCACAAGUGGAACUCUGGAGCGUGCCAACACACCAAUGUAGGACUGCAUCUCACUAUGUGCUUGGCCAAUUCCUUUCCCCCUUUUAUUGUACUCAACAAUUGGCCUGAGUUUCUGAAGUUUUCUCUUCACAACACGAGGCAUUGUGCUCAUACCUCGACCAGACUUUGAAUCAUCAGAGAUUGUUGUCGUGCUGGUUGGUUCUGUCUCAGCAGAUGAUGAAGCAAACUUCAUCUUCUUCGAAGACUUCAUCUUCUUCGAAGACUUCUCUUCAGGAGUUACCAUUCCAAGCUCCUUACCUCCAUUUUUCUUGGAGCCAGAGUCCUUACUUUGGUCUUGGUGAGAAACUAUUUUUACAGACAAAACUGCAAGUGAAAAUAUUUCAGGAAAAGAUUAAGAACACAAACGACGGUUAUUAAUAAAAUACGACGUAUGAUAUGAUUUUAAACGACGCAAUGAAAUAAUCUCAGACGUAAUAAAUGUUUAAAACCAAGGUAAUUAAACAACGAUGAAAUAAUAUAAAAUAAGACGUAAUAAUAACUUAUUACGUCGAUAUUUACCAGACGACGUGAUAAUUAACUAUAAACGACGAAAUAUUUAUAUAACGUCGUGGUAUUGAUGUUCACACGACAUCAAUAGUAAUAUACCGUCGUCUAUAUAAGGAUCCAAAACCCUUCUUUCUUUCUCUGUGAAUGUUUGAUUGCAUAUUUGAUUUUUCUGAACCAUGGUUUUUGUUUUCUAAUUUGAUAAAAUACAAGGCCAAGAAAGAAAGUUUUGGAAUCUUAUAUAGACGACGGUAUUUUAAUAUGACGUCGUGGUAUUAACAUUCACACGACGUAAAACAAUAAGAUACUGUCGUCUAUAUUAGAUACCAACCCUACUUUCUUUUUCUUUAUAUUUUAUCAAAUUAGGGAAAAACAAAAACCAUUGUUCAGAGAAAUCAAACCUGCAAUUAAACAAGCAAAUAAAAAAAAAGACUAUAAUUUUAAAAACAACUUUGUCAAUUUUCAGACGACGCUAGAACGACUGACGAACCGUCGUGGUCUACAUAUUUAACCACGUAAAUAAGAAGCUACCGUCGUCUUAUUUAGUUGAGGUAGUUGUCUUCAAAGUUGGAAACUUUCCCUCUUUGUCUGUAUAUGUUAUCGAACUUGGAAAGAAGUAAAAUGAUUUUGGCCAGAAAAAAGGUAAAAAGAUUUUUCAAACAAAAAACGUAUGAGCAUGCAAAACAGCAACCAAAAUAGUGAAAAUGAAAGCUUACCUUUUGCGUGCAAUGAAAGCAAGAGGAAGAUUAUGUUUAAGUUCAGAGACGACGAAGAAGACGAGAGGAAGACGAUGAGAUACUCUGACAGUGCUCUGACAAGGAAAAAAGUCUAAAAGUUUUCUCUGGAAGAUUGAAAUUUUUAAUCGGGUUUGGAAACAGCGCAUGUGUAAGUCAGGUAGACGAAAAGUUGCUUACAUAUAAAACCAUUUCAAAAAAAUAAUACGGCGGUUAUAUAUAACUACGACGUAUAAAUUACAAAAUACGACGGUACAUUUAACUUCGGACGUGGUAAAUAAAUACGACAGUAGUGUUGUAGGUACCGUCGUAGUAAACUCAAAAAUUAAAGUACAUAAGUAAUAACUCGCGUCAUGGUAGAUUAUUUAACAUGUCGUUUUUAUUAAUGUACCGACGUGGAUUUUUGUAAUAUACGUCAGUCAUACCGACGUUGAUUUUACAAUAUAAACGGCGGUUUUUUUGUAAGGACCGCCGUUGGUUUUAAAAAUUUAUUCUAUAAAUUUGUCGCUUUCAUUCAUUUUCGGUUUACAUUUAGGGUUCCAAGUUCUUCCUCUCUCAGAGACACUGUCUCUCACGUCUCAAAGACAAUAAUUUGGAUGUCUUUCUCAAAGAGAAAUUGAGCUUACUCGCAUCAAAUAUAUGUCCACAAGAAGAAGCUUGUCAACUAGCCUUCUCACUUCCUUGAUCAAGCCUGAUAGGACACUUAGUGCUUCUGAAUACUCCUUGCUUUCCAUCAAAAGAGAUGCAAGCCUGGCCUCCACUCGCUGUCGAAGGAAAGUUCGCUUCUCAGGGAAAUCUGCUUGAUUUUCUUAGCUAAGAAGAUCCGUCAGAUUUGUGAUAGCCUCUUCCUUUAUCCGUAGAGCUUCAGAAGAAGAAGAUGGGUUUCAAGAAUGCGAUAAUGAAUAGAAAUGGCUUCAGAUGACCUCUAAAGCAUGAGCAAUCGAAUCAGUAGUUGCUGGGAGAUAUGAUGAAGACAUUGUCAAUGCUUUGAACUAUACAAGUCCUGCAGAAAGAUAAAGGACCAAACUGUUAAAGAAACUGAAACAACGGCGGUUUUCUGUUCUACCGUCGUCUUUUCUCAUCGUCUAUAUUAAGGUAAGAUGGCGGUAGAUUUAUAAUUACCGACGUAGAUUAUUUUGUUAAACGUCGUUAAGUGUACUACAACCGACGUGGAAAUUUAAAAUAAGGGAAAUUAAUGUUCUAUAAUUUGUAAACUAACACGACGCAAUAUUACCAACCCGAGGAAAUUAUAAAUAGAUUUUGCUUUCCCGAAGAAAUUUUAAAUUAAUUCAGUUUGAAACAACGACGGGUUUUUGUUAUGCCGUCGUUUUUAACUAACACGACGCAAUAUUUAUUUUGCGACGUGGAAUCUUUUCAUUUAACGUCGUUAGGUUUAAUAUAACCGACGUGGAUUUAAAUUUUUAAAUUAUGAAUAGAAUUUUUUUUUCCGUGACCUUUCAGUUUAUUUUUCAAUUACAGUGCGUUAUAAAUAGAGUUUUUUUUUUCCGGAGGAAAUUUAAAAUGAAGGAAAUUAAUGUUCUGGAAUAUGUAAAGUUUCUUUUUUGGAUGACAGAUUUAAAUAAAAUAAGAAUAUAAAAACAACGACUGUUUUUGUAUUACUGUCGUCGUUUUUCGUCGUCUUAAGUAAGACUAAGACGACGUAAUAUAUUUGUUGAGCGACGUUGAUUUGUUUUUUAAACGUCAUUAGGUAUAAUAUAACCGUCGUUGAAAAUUGUCUCUCUGAUUGCAAAUUUGCAACGACGUUAGGUAUAAUAUUUGUAGAUACACAAACGCGCACACAUCAUCAACUUCCAAAAAAUUGUCUCUCUGAUUGCAAAUCUAUGUCAUCUGUUAAGAUUAUGAUGUGGAACAGAGUUCCAUCUGGUAAGAUUUCCUAACCCUUGGGAUCUCAGACAAAUCUGAUUAUGUCGGCGGUUUUCUAUAUAAACCGUCGUGGUUAUUUCAAUUCUUGUCAUUAAGUAGAUCUACCGAUGUAGGAUAAGAAAAUCAAAGAAAAAAAUUGUUAACAAAAAUUCUUAUUAAGACGACGGUUUAAAUUAAAGGUACGACGUAUAAAAUGAAUAAAUACGACGUUAAAUUUUAUUGUACGAUUUAAAGAUAACGUCGUAGAACUAUACGAGAAUGACGUCGAUAUAUUUAUAUUUUCCGUCGUUGUACAUUAAUUUAAUACGGCGAUAUUUUGUAUUUUAAAGCCGUGGAUUUGUUUGUAAUUAUACGGCGUCUUAUACGAAAACCUCGUCGUGUUAUUUUAUGAGUAAAAACGGCGGUUUUUAUUGAAAUCGUCGUCUUUACUUUCUAUGUCGGUCGAUUCAUAACUUUUGCCAUUCUUUGUUGGCAUUGAUUUUACACUGCGGAAAUCUGUUUCAAAUAGACGUCGGUUGUUUAAUUAGGUACGUCGUUGUUUUUGAACAGCCAUUUGAAUCUCCAUUUUUUAGUUGUCUAAGGUUGUAUUACACGACGGUGUUUUUAGAACCGUCGUCUUUUUAAAAACCACGACGGUUUUCACUUAGACCGUCGUUGUUUUCUGGUCGUCUUUUUCACUUUUUGUAGUAGUGUGGUAUCAGAGUACCAGCUAUUAACAUAAAUAGAGAGAUCUUUUGGGUGCUAAUUGGUAUUAGGUGUGCAAAAAUAAAAAUAGAUCAAAUUGCUCCUUGCAUUCAUGAUGAGCUUGCCUUGUUUGUUAAGAAUUAUAGAAUGGUUGUCAAAGAUAAAACCAAAGUCACUAGGAAUUGUCAGAAUCUUCCUCGUCUACAUGUGUGUCUCAAGACAAUGUUUUUGAGGAGAUGAAUUUUUUGGACUCUUAUGGCUUUAGAGAGAACAAAAGUUUGAAGGGUCUUAUAAAGUGCUAUCUAUAUGGUGGUACUGGUCACAUUGAUAUGGAAUGUGCAAAUAACCACAUAACAGAGUCUAAUGGGAGAGAAGAGUCAAUUAGUGCACAAUGGAGUGAUAAUGAUAGUGAUGAUUCUAAUAACUAUAUCACUUCAUCUUAUGAAGAGGCAAAUAAUUUUGCCCUUGUUGGUUCUGUUCAUAACUCUAGCCUUGCUAGAGUUCAUGUAGUUAAGGAAUGAAAAUCUAAUUCAGGAAAUGAAUCUGUGUCUGGAGAUGAUAGACAGGAUGACUAGUCAUACAGGGAACAUGAUGACCAGUCAUACAAGGAACAGGAUGACCAGUCAUACUUGGGUAUGUGUGAAAAGUAUGAUGUCUUUUUUACUGAAAAUUCCAAGUUUAAGGAAAGAAAUCUCUUACUAGAAGGGAAGGUAAAGAACCUGGAAAUUCUUAAUUGCACUUUUAAAGAAGCAAAUAAUGAAUUGAGUGAAAAUGUUGAGACCUUUGAGAGUGAAAGGGAUUCAUUGAUUGUCAUUAAAAAUGACAUUUCAAACCAAGUGAAUGUGCUCAAGGAAAACAACUUGAUUUUCCAAGCCUCCAACAAGAAUUUGUUGACUCAGAUAAAUGAGACAAAUGACACGGUGAUCAAGCUUACCAUAGGGGCUAAAAAAGUGAAUAAAAUGUUAAAUAUGAGUAAGGUUCAUGGAGACAAAACUGGUUUUGGUUAUGGUUGUUCUAGUUUAUGUGUUCCUCCUCCUUUGACCACAUUUGUCAAGGAGUCAAAUACAAGGUUUGAUGUUUUAGAGCCAACUAGGACUCAAAGAUUCAUUCCUACUUGUCACCAUUGUGGUGUGAAAGGUCACAUUCGACCUAGGUGUAAUGCUCUAAGGAAUGUGUCUAGAGCAACCAAUGCAAAUGGCUUUAAGAACCAUGUUUCAUCUCUUAAAACAUGUGAGCUUGCAAAAUCUAUUCUUUGUAAAAGGGAUAAACCUUCUUCACUUACAAAAUUUGGUUUCCCAAAACCAAAAAGGUUCUUUCCUACUUGCCAUCAUUGUGGCACAUUAGGACACAUAAGACCAAAGUGUUUUGAGCUUAGAAAUUUUGAGAAAAAGUCUUUUGUUGAUUUCAAGAAAGUAAAUGAUGACUCACUUCAAACUCAAGUGAAUGAUCUUCUUUAUAAAGUUGUCAAAAUUCCUAAGUUGAUCUCUUUACCUCAUAAAGUUUCAAAACUGAAGCAAGUUUGGGUCAAGAAGAAAGACCAUGUUCUUCUUCAUGUUAGUGACUAGUUUAUUCGUGUUAUGUAUCUAGACCAUUCUCUUGUUUAUGCGUGCUUCAUGGAGUCUAGAUACAUUGUCAUGUAUAUGCAUUUUACUUGUUAUUUUCUUUAUUUUGGUCUCAUAAUUUCACCUUGUGCACAUCAUUCAUCUCUCACAGUACUUUGGAUCUCAUAUUCCUUCAAACUUCAUGAUGUGUGAGAUCUUGUAGAUGUUUGACUAAUUGACUUAAGGUAUUUUCUUACAUAAGAGAUCUUGGUGAAAAUAAUGUCUUGAAAUUUGCGCAUAUUGAGAAGCAACUAGCUGUUUUUUAACUCUCAACCGCUAGAUACUUGAAGGUAUUGAUUUCCUUCAAAGAUCUAUUGGGUUGUCCAAAAUGGAUUAACUUGUGUUUUCAAUUUCAUGUGCUUACAAUCUGAAUUUCCAUUUUGUUAGUGUUAAAAAAAAAAUUUGCAUAUAAGCUCUCUUCUCUCAAAAUGCAUGAUUCUUAUGAGUGGGAGUCUUUUCAUGAUGUUGUAGAUGUGAAAGAGUUUUCCCCAUUCUUGUCUACAAUUUUGAGCUUUUUUAUUGAAUAUACUUGUGUUGCAUGAUAUGCUUUGAGCUAUCUAUAAAGUGUCUAAGAUCACUUCCAGUUGUCUCUCUACCUUGAUCUUUUGAUCCAUUUGGAAAUCGAAAUGCAAAUAAAUUGUUGGGUAAAAGCCUUGGAAAUGCAUUGUCCACAAAUAUAGAAAAAGCAUUUUCGGACAAGCAAGUGUGCUAUACUUAUUUUUUUUUUAAAGGUAAAAGCGCUUGGAAGAGCAUUGUACACCCACAAAUAGAAAAGCAAAAUUGUACAAGCAAGUGUGCUAUGCCUUUCUAAAAUAUUGAUAAAUGUCAACUUUUGGAUCACAUUUCUUGGUAGGGUUUAUGCCUUGAUUUCUAGAACUUAUAUUAGAUUUGAUGCUUGGAAAGUCUCAUGCAACUCUUGGAAAUCAUUAUUGAAGCUCAUAUUGAAUUAGGCCUCCUUUUUCCCAAACUCCUUACUCUAUGCUUUAUGAGAGGUUCUAACUUAUGUAUCUCAUUGAUUUUGGGAAUUGAGUGCAUACAUUGCUUUGGCAUGUUAAUCUUUGUAGUUCAACUAUUUCCCACUUGUGUUUUUCCAAAUAACCUAAGCACAUGUUAUGGAGAUGCAUGUUAUUCUAUUGCAUGACGUUUUUCUAAUCCAAAUUCUAGUUGCUUCCAUCUCAAUAUGGCUUAUUAUGCUUUGAUAUCUCUUUGUAUGCUAUGCUUUGGGUCAAUGUGUUUCAUGCUAGCUUUCUGGAAAUCAUUUCUACCUCGCAUGACUAGUCAUCCAAUCUAGCAUUCUUUGUGUCUCACUGAUUCAUUAUUGGUUGCAUUUUUGUUGUGUUAUUUGUUGUGCUUAAGGGGACUCUACACUUUAUGCAUUCGAGCACUUUUCUUUUAAUGUGGUUUGGACUGUUUUGAGUCUUAUUGUAUGCAUUUGUGACCAUACUUUGGAGUCAUUGACUACUUGGUAGUCUUUCUUGUAUCUCUUUGGCUGUGAUAAUCCAUACUUUGCUUUAGCGAAGCAUCUUCAUUGACAUGUCAUGGGUUUGGUCACACAAUUGAGAAUUCUGUGAGUUUUCUUGUUUAAGUAAUGUUGGUGUUUGUUUUCUGAGCCCAUAUGACUAGUCAUAUAUACCAUUAGUCACUGGUAUCAGUUUGGUCUUAAGGUAUUUAGUCCUUCUUGGAUUUGACCCAUGUUACCAUAUGUGACAUGGUUGUCUUUAUUGUGGUUUCCUUAAGUCACUUUUGAGUAGACUUCUGUUGAUGUUGUUGCUUUAUGCAACUCGAAUGAUGAUUGUCUUGGCUGCAAUCUCCUGUUUUGAAUUUAUAGGUCUAUUGCACUUUGUGAUUUUUCCAUUAAAGGGAGCUUGUUAUUUACUUGUCCUUGGAACACUUUGUUAUGUAGUGAACUGCUUACUUCUUCUUAGGAUUGAUCUCGGUUAUGGAUUUCCUUUAUUAUUUAGAGCUUUAGUUCUCAGCACUUAGACUUUGGCUAUAGGAGGAAAGUCCAUUCUUGUUUUGAAGAGGAGUGGCUUAUGCAUUACCCUAGCUUACUUUAGAUUUGCUUGGGUGUGAUUGUUGUUUUUCCUUGGUGACAUGCAUUCUUUGGUUAAUUUCACAUCUUUCUUUGUGUCAAAGGUUUUGUACGUUAUUUUCAUCUUGGAAUGUCUUCUUUAUUAUGUGCAUUGAAAUUAAAUUCAGCCACUUGAUUUUAAUUGCUUUAGGUAUGAUUCCUUGCAACUUGUGCUCCAUUUCUUAUUCUUUUUAGUCUGAUGCACUUUUGUGUUUGUUGGCUAUUUAUGGACAGUUUGCUGGAUUAGUACAUCAAAGGUUAAUUCCUUUAUGUUAUAUGAUACUCAGGGGGAGUAUUUUUGGACAGGUUGGGUGGUAUAUUUUUGUAAUCUCAUUGUGCGGAUCUUUUUGCUUGGGUAGUCUGUGCAACUUGAUAGGGGGAGUUGUCUUGUAUUGUUUUGAGCAAAUGUUGUUUUGCUUUGUAAUCAAACCGUGUCAUGUGCAUAUUGUUCAAAUCUGAUUAUGUGACUUGUGUUUAAUUCACUUGAUUACUGUUUCUCUAUAUUUGCCUUUUUGCUCUUUCCUUAUCAACAAGGGGGAGAACACUCUCAACCCCAUAUUGCAUAUAUUGCAUAUUGCUUCAAAUUUCUGUGAUAUAAUAUGCUUGUCUUGUGCCUGGGAGUUUGGUUGUUGUUUUGCAGGUACUUCAUUUCAUCAUCUCCAUAGGUUUAGUUUUGGGUUGAGUGUAUUUAGAGAGUGUGUUGUCAAGGAAAGCCAAAAAGAGGGAGAUUGUUAAUGUAUGCAUUUUGAGUUUUUUCUUUUGGCUUCCCUUGACAAUUUUGUAACAGGAAAAUCAUUGUAGUUUCCCAAGCUCUAAGUUUAGAUUAAGAAUUACUUCUCUAGGUGUUCUUAUCUGCCUACAUUCUGAUGGAAAACAAUGCGUUUGACAAAGGUAAAUUUUGCAUUACACUACAUUGCAUUCACUAAAUUUCUGAAGAUUAUGACUAGUCAUCUUUCCUUCGUAUGACUAGUCAUCUUUCCUUCGUAUGACUAGUCAUCUUUCCUUCAAUUAGGAUUUCCAGCUCACUAUUUCCAACUGGGGCUUAACCAUUUUUUUUUGUCCUUUUCUAUGAAUUUCUCAGCUGUCAUGUGUCUAUUCUGACCUAGGAAUUUUUGGUAAAAGCCAAAGAAUUCCUCAUUUGGCAGCCGUCACUUUUGUAGGCAAGUUUUGGAAAGUUUCUCUGUAAACUUUCUCUUUUUCCUCAAGUGUAACCUUCAUAUUUUUCAUCUUUGAGUUUUCCAAAAUGUUCCUUUUCAAAAACUGCAUUUGAAAUAUGAAAACAUCAUCUUGCUAGAUCAAACACUCUCUCAUAUAUAUCUAGGUCAGAUUCAAGAUUGAUUUCUUCAAGAGUAUGGUUUCUUGAAGAAAUUGGUCAUUCUCCUUCGAAUCCAAAUUUUGGUUUCUGUCUGAGUUGGAGCUUACAAGCUGGUGCCAUGGGAUGAAUGAGCUGGAGAAGGAGCUGUCAUUGCCAUGAAGAACUGAGCUUCAAGCUUUGCUAAGUUGGAGAAGAAGAUUGCACAAAGGAGGUAUAGCUCAUCUUCCUAAAUAGAUCUAGGUUUUUCUUGAGCUUGCUUGUGUUCCUUUGUAAGAAUCUUUUUCUACUUAGUGGAUUGCCUGGUCGAUUGAUGAACCCCAGUUUUUCCCAAUGGUGGGUUUCUGGGUGAACAAUUUCUGAUUGCAUCUCUGUAAUUUUUCUGGGUUUGUGUUCUUGGUGGUUGACUAGUCAUCGUAUGAAUUGUGGUUGACUAGUCAUUGUAUGAAUUCUGGGUUUGUGUUUUUAGUGGUUGACCAGUCAUUGUAUGAAUUCUGGGUUUGUGUCCUUAUAGUUGACUAGUCAUCAUUAUCUGGUAUUUGGUGUUUACUUGAUUAUGAUGAUUUCACACACUUUCACCAUAGUUGUUGCUAGCACAGUGGAUGCCUAGAUUGACGGGUCCUUCUGAGUGCCUAGGUUGUCACUAGUAAUCUUCUAGGGUUGCAGGUACAUUGUGGCAUGCUCUGUGUGUAUUCUUGAUUGUGGUUGUUCAUGCCUAGCAGUUGACUAGUCAUAAGUGUACUUGGUCAAGGUCUAAAGUGUGUGAAGAUUGUUGCCUUUUGUUUAGGUGUCGUAAAAGUUAACCCUCGUCACCUAAGUACCAAUUUCACCUACCAUGUGAGAAUGUGGAAUUGAGUGACAUUGAUCUCAAGUACACUGGAGACAAAGGUCCUAUUACCUCUGUGUGUUCUAAUGUCAAGCCGACAAUUAAUCGCAUGGCACAGCCUCUUGCUUGC
rnacentral:lncRNA from 1 species